CUACUCUUGGGGGUAGAGUUGGUGUCUUGUGUUUUGGUGGUGGAGGUGGCUUAACAGGAGUUGGUGGCUUGUAUUCUGGGGGUGGUUUCUCCACCGGAGGUGGCUUAUAAACUGGAGUUGGUGGCUUGUAUUCUGGGGGUGGCUUCUCCACUGGUGGUGGCCUGUAAACAGGGGUUGGUGGCUUAUAUUCUGGGGGAGGCUUCUCCACUGGAGGCGACUUAUAAACAGGGGUUGGUGGCUUGUAUUCCGGGGGUGGCUUCUCUACGGGAGGUGGCCUGUAAACAGGGGUUGGUGGCUUCUCCACCGGAGGUGGCUUAUAAACGGGGGUUGGUGGCUUGUAUUCUGGGGGUGGUUUCCCCAGUGGUGGAGACUUGUAAACAGGAAGAGGUGGUUUGUGCUCAUAUGGGGGUGGCUUGUGGUCAUUAGCAAGUGAGGGAGUGGUGAGGACCACCAAUCCAAGGAACAACACGAGUGAGCAAGCAGAAGACAUGUUUGGGCUCUGGUGAUGCACAAGUAGAAGAAAUGGGAACCAUUUAUAAUGCUUCGAGACCUUGGUUAGCACCAAAAUAUGUCAAAAUCUUGAUUACUUCAUUUCAUACAUAGAUUUAAAAUUAUUUCAAUCAACCAUGAUCCUUAAUUUUCUGGGUGGUCCAUAAAUGUAAUGGGGUCAAUUUGGGACCUAACAAGCUGAGAAGUUUGACAAUGCUGCAAGGCUUCAUCCGAAAGUCCGGGGAAGAAUAUUAGGAGUUACACUCCGUUUCCUUUUUUGGGUGCAUUUUUCUCCUUUAACAUUCUAUUCCCUUUUACAUUAGCAUUUGAUCUUAGCUCAUUUCAAGUACAAGUUUCUUGAACCCUAUACCAUUGUCAAAGUUGAGUAACCAUCUCUACUUUGCUCAAGAAACAUAAAAGACAAUGACAAUAAAGAAAAAGGAGAGAGACCAUACGUGACUUGGUUUAUAGGUGGCUUUGUGUUGACAUUUGAGUAUGGAAGCCGACAUGCAUCUUAGCUUCGAUUUUAAUUAAAUUUGUACAUUAGUGUCUGUGUCAUUCAUUUUGGUAUAAAAGGUCUCUUGAUUUCGUAAGUUUGGUAAGAACCGUUGAAAAUAGCAGUAGCAGCACAUGGUCCACUUUCUUUCACAAAAUAAUUUUAAAAGUUUAGAAGCAUAGGAGGUAACAUUAGUGGCCUUGUGGCUCAGCCACGAGUACUAUGUGGUGCUCGAGAAAUUGAGUUUAAUUUCCUUCCGAUAGUUCAUGAUAAGGUCCGUCACUGUCCUGAGACAGAUUGCGUUUUUUCUUUUUUCCUUUUUUAGUGUUUUAUUGACUAGCUAGGUGUGACUUUUCCUACUUUAAGGCACGAGGCAGAAAAGAAACUGGGAUUUAGUGCUUAAGAAGGCAAAUUUAAUUCGAUUUGGAUCUAAAAUUUGCCAGCAACAUGAGAUUUUCCAGCCUAUCGUUGCUCCACAUAUAGACAAGGCACUUGUAGAAGUGGCUUGUUUGUAGCCAUUCCCGAUAUUUGGACUCACUUGAUUCACCGGACACUUUGAUAAAAUUUAAUAUUUAUUAUUUAAUAAUUUAAAUUGAUUUAAAAUUAAAUUAUACCGAAGUUGUGAUUUAAAAAUUAUUAUUUAAUUCUUACUUUUAAAUAUGAAGAUUAUUUGAUAAAAAUAAUUUAAAAUUUAUUAUAAAUUAUCAAAUUAACAUAUUUAUCCUUAUAAAUUAUAAUUAAAACAGAAAAGGUCAAAUGAUUUGAGUAUCCAUAGAUGUGGUAAAAUAAUAAAAAAGAUUAUAAAAACAAUUAUGAUAAAUAAAGAUAAAAAGUAAAAUGAAUAUGUGAAUUUAAAGAAUAAAUUAAUUAUUUUUAUUUAUUACUUAAAAUUAUUUUUGACUUUAAAUUAUAUUAUUAAAUUAUUUUACCAAACAUACUUAAUUUAGUUAAUAAUUUAAAUUUAAUUUAAGUUAUUAAAUUGAUUCACCAAAUACCCACUUAAUCAAAGACUGAAGUAUACAUUAUUUGGCCAAAUGCAGCUAUUGAAAUUUAACUUUUUCCAAACUUAUUCAUUUUGUGGAAAUAUUUUUAGAAAUGAUUUUAAAAAUGCACUAUUCUGUGUGUUGAUUUUAUAUUUUGGCAUUAAUCCAACAUAGAAAACGGUUCUUAUUUUCGCUGUUAAAUAGGUACCAGAUCCUUAAUUAGUGCCGUGAAUCCGGCAGCUUCCAAUGAGUAAUUUGGACUUGGGUAUUGACAAUGUGUGGCCAUGCUUCUACUAUUUUAUUAUUCUUGAAACAUAUAUGAUAUAUUGGACUUUAUACAGGGAAAAAAAAAAAAAAAAGUCUUCACCAAAAAUGAUUCCUCCUAAAAAAUAGACUCCACAAACUAGGUUUAACAGGAAAAUGAUUCUAAUCUAGUAGUUUCCAGCCACAUGAGCAUUUACGUAACAAUAGUAUAGUUGAUAACGACUUUUAUUUUAUUUAUUUUUAAAUAGUUAAAGGGAUAAUUUUUGAGCUUAAAUUUUAUUUUUUUAUUUAGAAACAUUUUACUUUAUUUUUUAAUCAUAAUUCUAUUAUAUUAAUGUUUUAUUUUCUAUUUUUUAAUAUAUAAGGAGAUACUAAAUUUAUGUGAUUAUUUUUUAAAAAUUUAGUAUAUGAAAUUAAAUAAUUGGAUAUAUAUACAUAUAUCAUAUAAUGUUUUUUAAGUGUGAUUUUUGAACUUUUUAGUCAUUUUAUAAGUUUAAGCUUUUGAUUUUUUUUUUUAAACUUUGGUAUUUUUUAUUUUAUAUAAAACUAUUUUGAUUUAAUUUUAUUAAAAAAUAUUGGUAUUAUAAAUUAUUGUAUUAAUUAUUUUUUUAUAUUAUAAUGUAACUGGUAUAUACUAAAAAAUGUAUGCAAGUUCAAUUUAAGUUUCAAAUUAAAAAAUUUCAUUUAAAUAUUUAAUAACUUGUUCAUAAUAAAAAAUUAAACAACAUAAUACAAAUGAAAAGAAACAUAAAAGAAAAAGGAAAAAAUGGUCCUCUCUGUGUGUCACAUUACUAGGUCAUCCUCUUUUUCUAUGACCCUUACAAUAGAAUGGCAUAUUUGUCAAAUCUACUUAUGAAAGUUGGAAUGUUUCUACAUGUGUAGGGUCCAUUGGAACUAAUGGAGGAAAGGCUUAACGUCUAUGUAAAUCACAACGUUGCCUAGGUGGGCAUAGAUCUAGUUGUGUAACAUGAGAUGGUGUGAGAGUACAAUAUAUGCAUUGUAGUCUCUAUGGGAAGAGAGAUAGGUAAUGGUAGGGUGGUAGACGGUAGGGUGAUCUCUAAUAUAAUGACAUUUGAUGUGGUGGCUUCUAAGAGAGGAGAUAUAAGAGAUGGUAGAAUGACAUUUGGUGUAAUGGUCUCUAGUGCAAUGACAUGUGAUAUGGUGACCUAUAAAGAAGAGAUAUAGGUGAUGGUGAAGUGGUAUGUGGUGUAGUGACCUUUGAGAUAGAAAAUAGAGGUAAUGGUAGGUUGGCAGGUGGAGUGGUCUUUGGUGUAGUGACAUCAAUUAUAAAUGUCUCCAAGGGAGGAAAUAAAGGUGAUGGUAGGUAGUAAAUGUUGAGGUGGUCUUUGAUAUGUUAUGCUCUAAGAGAGAAGGUAUAGGUAAUGAUAAUAGGGAAUUUGACAUAGUGGUGUUGGAAAUAAAAAGUGAAAGUGACCGUAGAGGUGAAAGGGCAAGUGUAAAAGCCUCAAGUACGAAUGGAGUAAUUAAUGUGGAUGGUGCUAACAUAGUCUUAGGUGGAUACACAAAUAGUCAUAGUCAUCAACUAGCUUGCCCACCAUCUGUCUUUCUGCUAGUGAUAGGUUACAUCUUAAUAGUAAUGGCCAACAUAAGUGGUGUGGAUCCGAUUUUUUUACGUGUGUCCCCACUCAAUCGACAAGACUUAUUUUUUAUUAGUGAAAAAUUAAUUUUGGAAAAGUUGGAGUCACCACUUAUUUUAUUUUAUUUUAAAAAGGAAAGUAAAACAAGAAAGAGAACUCUAAAGAAGUGACUUCAUAGUUUUGGAAAAGUUAGUCUUAAAAAAUCCAAGUCUUGGUCCGGAGAUCAGGUUACUUAUUGGGAAGAUACCUCUAAGAGGUAAUACCCCUCUAAACCCUAAAGAAGUCUCUAAUGACUAAGUUGAGGAGAAUGUGGUAAUUAAUUAAUUGAUUGAGGGUACCUAGGUAGACUAAGGUGAUUUCAGAAUUAACAUACCAAGCUAGAAAGUCCAAUCAUGAUCAUAAAAGAGAGUCAAAGUAUGUACCUGAACUGCUUCUCAAACGCUAUCAUAAAACAUCAAAGUUAGUAUAGAAAUAUAACACAUAAUAUUUGUUUUAUCCAAGCAAAUAAAGCAUACAUCUAAGCACCCAAGAAUCACAUCAAGUAUGGAUAUAGUCAUCAAUAGCAUACGUGUCCAUAGAACUAUCGAAAGUAAAUGUGGAGGAGCGUAUCUGGACAACAUAGAUAACUUAUAAUGUGCUUCCACAAGACAUGGGGGUUAGAUAAAAGUUAUAAUAAUAAUUAGUAAAUGAAAGAAUUCUAGCAUGUUUGGUAUCUAAAUAACAUAGCAAAAAUGAACAAGAGUACACGAAAACAUCAAUUAUCACACGAGUCAUAUUGGCUAGUAUUUAAUCAAUAAACCAACAAUAAAUGACUAUAAACAUAUAAAAUGACAUAUUCAAAGAGACCCAAACAUAAAGAGCCUAGAACACAAGCUUACACUAAAUUUAGAAAACUAAAACAUGGAAUUUUAAAAGCAUAAAUUAGCAAACAAAUUGAUGGAAACUAAAUUUAGAUAACUUAAGAAUAUUUUUCUUAUCCUUCAAUUUAAAUCAGUAAGCCAACAAUAAAAAAUUAUAGAAACAUGGAAUAUCAAGAUCAAUGGGAUACCUAAACUAUAAUUUUUAAAAGAAAAUAAACUAAGCAUAAUAUCUACAAAGCAACUAAACUAACAUUUUUUUAAAAAUAAAUUAAACAUGACAUUAAUGGAGUAACCAAACUAAAUUAAAGUAAACUAAAAACAUUUAUGAAUUUUCAAACAUGGAAUCAGCUUUCUUAGUAAAUUAAAAUUAUUAAAAUAAAAUCUAAGCUUAAAAAUGAAUUAAAUACUAACUAAAGCAAAUCUAAAACCAAAUAUUUAACACAUAGGAUCAAUUAUAUUAACAAACUAAAAUUUUAUAAGAACACUUAAACCUAAAGUUGAAUUAAAAACUAACCAAUUUUUAAAACUAGAUCUUUAACCCAUAGGAUCAAUUAUAUUAACAAAUAAAUAAUAAAUAAUAAAUAAAUAAAACUCAAACCUAAAGAUGAACUAGAAAUGUACCAAAGUAAAUUCAAAACAAGAUCUUUAACACAUUAGAUCAAUUAUAUUGACUAACUAAAAAAAAAAAAAAAAAACACUCAAACCUGAAACGAUGUAUUAGAAACUAACCAAAGCAAAUUUAAAAUAGAGUCUUUAACACAUAGGAUCAAUUAUAAUCACUAACUUAAAUUACAAUUUUUGAAACAUGAACUAAUUAGUGUUGGAUUAAUUAAACUAAUUAACUAAAAAAAACUAUAAACUAGAAUACGGUGAAUCAAGAAUUCAAAUCAACAAACAUAAAAUAUGGGUACAAUGAAAUGAAAAUCUAUUAAACUAAUAAGACGGAAAUAUGACAAACUCAUGAACCCACAUUUUGAUCAACUAGGAAAUAGAAAUUAAUAGACCUGUAGCAUGGAUACAAUGAAAUGAGAUCAGUUAAAUUUAUUUGCCGAAAUUCUAAAAAACACAUACACUCAAAUAAGAUCUAAAUCUAAGACCAAGCAAAACUCAAACUUUCUCAAUCUAAUGCAAUGAAUCAAAACUAAAAUUAAAUAGAAAUCAAACCAUUUUUUUUUUAUCUAAUAUAAUAAAUCAAAGCUAAAACUAAACAAAAUCGAAUUUUCUUAAUUUAAUAUGAUGAGUCAAAGCUAAAAUUGAACAAAGUUCAAACCUUUAUAUAAUGGAUCAAAGUUAAAUCUAAAUGAAAUCCAUACUUCCACAAUUUGAUAUAACAAAUCAAAAAUAAAACUAGAUAAAAAAAAAGUCAAAGCCUUUCAACUUGACAUAGUGAAUCCAAACUGAAACGAAACAAAAUUUUAACUUUUCCAAUGAAACCCAAUAUAGAAAAAAUUAGCUUACCUUCUUUAGAAUAUAUGUAUGGGCCAUAAAGAAGUCACCUUGGUGCAUGUGUUCCUCACUUUGACGCCAAUGGACGACUUUCUAUGGUAGCAAAUGGAGAUCCUUUUUGGUGGUAACUUGCGUGUGGAAACCUAUGGUACAACCAAUGUCAUCUUUUAUUGUGCGUGUGGACCAAUUUCUUCUCGAGAACUCAUGUGUGUUGUGCUCAAAAUAUGUUGCCUGUGAGAAUCUAUUGGUAUACCCCACAUAUGGUUUCCUUGAGAGAAUCUGUGGUUGUGUGUGGGCGUUUUCUUCAUGACAGCAUGUGGAUGUUCCCAUCUAUGGUAGAUUGGUUGUGAUGCUUUAGUGCAUGGUCUCCAUAGGAAUAGUGUGUUAUGGAAAUUUGGUUUUUUUAUUGGUGCAUGUUGUCUAGACUUUCCCAUAUGCGUGGACUGUGUGUUCAUGCUUUUCUUUUCGGAUGGUCGCCUGUGUUAAUGUGUGGCGGUGUCUACAAUGAAAGAUACAACCCUUUCUCUCCUUCUGCGUGAUAGAAAAGUCAAUCCCCCAUGGUGCGACUAUGUUCCCUCGUCCUUUUUGAAAAAUUUUGGUGUUUUCCCCCCAAAAAAUCCCCUCCAAAAAUCUAAUUAUAAAUGUCUGCUUUGGCCUAAUGUGUGUGCUACUUUUUUUUUCCUUCUUUUUAUGGUUGUGCGUGCUUUUCUUGAUACGUGGCUUAUUUCUUAAGGAUAUGAUUCGCUCCCAAUUGGUGUCUCAGCUGAUUCAUGUCCUUUCAAUGGUCCCUGACAGUGGUGCCAUUUGAUUCGUGUCCAGCUGGUGUCCCUUGAUUGUGGUCCUCAGAAGGGAGUAAUCAAUAAAAUUUAUAACCUAUUACACCAUGUAUUAGGAUAGCCUUAGCUAGCAUAGCAUAGUGGCUCUAGGGUCGUUUAUUGGGAUGAGUUUUCACUUCACAAUUGAUAUUAAUUCAAGAGCUGAAUUGGUGCCUUUUCAUUUCAAGGUUAGCUUUAAAAGAAAACAUAAUCUUUGGUGGAAAAAGGUUUGGUUUUAAACUAACCAAAAAUAGUAACUGAUUUUACUUACAAAGAAAAGUGUUCUUUGGAGUUUAGAUCACUAGGCUCAGGUUCCUCAUACAAAAAGGAGAGUUCCGAUCAUUUGUUUCUUUUCCUCGCAUUAGAGAAUUAACAUAUAGUUAAUUCUCUAACCGGUGCGGUACAUAUGCUUCCCAUUAAUGGGUUCAAACACUAAAUACCUCUCACUGAUGCACCUUGCAAUGGCUCGUGCCUCUCACCUAGCAUUUAUCAUUCAAGGUGAUCUUUAACCUUGGAUUACCCAUCAAAAGCUCGCAAGAGAUAACUAAAGGAUGUCUCCUUAGAGUCCAAAAGCUUACCAAGUGUUGGUUAUUCUAGAAAAUCCUACCUUCAAACCACCUCCCAAAGGCUCGCAAGAGAUAAACAAGUGCAUCUCAAUGGAUGAAGAUCACUUGCCUUACCAAGUUUUGGCCCAGAUGAUUUAAUGACAUUUUAAGUUAACUAAAAAGAUAAAAACCAUUAACGGGUCACACUUUCUCUUCAUUAAAAACUAAAACAACAAAACUUCCAAUUUAUGCAUGAGGAAACUUACCUGGCUUUCUUCACUUCAAGAGAUGAAGAGCCUAGCCACUCAUCAUUUGAGGAAAAAUCCUCAGAGUUUGAUUUGCUAGAAAUAAAAAUAAUGAGAAAACAAAAAUAUAUAUAUGAAAAACAGAGCAAGUUCUCUGUAAUAUAUUUUUCUUCCUUAUACAAAAGGUUGUCUCUAAGAACAAGUUCCCGAGAUCUAUCUGAUUGUAAAUAAAAUUACAACUAUAUAUAAGAGGUUAUUCACCCCUUUGUUCUUUCUUAAAGACUAAGGAAUCCUAUGAUAGGUGGGUUACAAGGAGAGUUUGGGGAUUUAGACAUCAAAUAUCUAAAGCAAAAUAUCUCAAGAUGUUAGUCGGAAAUAUCAGGAAGCUUCAGGAGAACACCGCGACACUGUAUACUGAGAGAAAAACUCUCCGGGUAAGCUCUAUCAAAGGAUCCAGACAUGUCUGACUGGGAAAGUUGAAACGUCCUUCUCUCCCAUCCGGAUGUGAGAUAUCCGGAGAAAGUGAAAUGUCGGUCGGACAGAAUUCUUUCCCCGGGUGGAAUGAGUUGUGUUGCGCGUCGCAAGGGGGACCGUCUGCGUGUACAAGUUGUAGGGACCCCUCUCCCGGAUGACACCGAGCGCGUAAGGCUAUCCGGAUCAACUCCAUUCGGAUUCCCCAAGAGGACAUGUGGCGUGCUCCCCUAUCAGGACUCCCUUAGGGAGAAGCACACGACACUCGUGAACAUCAUACCCGGACGAUAGCAUGUCCUAUCCGGAUGUGUUGUCCGGAUCAUUGACUAAAGUGAGCAAGCCUUGCUACGUCAUUCGGACAGCUUGCCACAUACCAUGUUCCGUCGCCAUCUGAUGGUGUGUCCGAACGCCUUGUCCGGACAUCUUUUGCUCCUUGCAUUCCGGAUUUGCUUAUGACAAAGGACUUCAAAGCUUCGGUUCUUCAUGUUUCUGAGCUUUCCAUUGCUUUGCCAUGGAUUCCAAAGAACUCUCCUUAAUCACGGAUUGCUUUGGUGAUCAAAAAGUUAUCAAAACACAAAAACUUAACAUAGUUUGAUUAGAAUUGAUUGCAAGGGUUCUUAAUAUGUUAAUUGGGUUAAAAGGUGAUAACUACUACUCAAAAGUGUUUAUAAGAAUUAAUUACAAGCUAUGAAAUAACACUUUUUGAGUAGUAAUCAGGAUACAUCCUAGUUUUUCAUGGAAUUGAUAGUGGGUUGUUGUGCAUGAAUGCCACCAUUUCAACUAUGCUGUUGUUAUUUUUAAAAAAAAUAUGGAUUAUGCGCGAGUGGCAAUUCUCCACUAUGGAAAGUGGAUUGCUCCUUCAACCCAUGCAUGGCUACGUAUUCCUAUGUCUUUCUACUUGUGUUUGAUCCUCCAAAAAAAAUUUCGGUUUAGUGCUAGUAGAUUUUAAGUGGUGGAUCCCCAUUUUUUGAAAAUGAAGUGGCAGCCUCCCAUUUCAAGACAAAAUGGUAGCCUGCCUUUAAUCUUUGGAGAAAAAUCUGUGCAUGACCUUUUUUUUUCCCAAAAAAUCCGUGCAUGGUGUCCUUUAAUAUUUGGAGAAAAAUCUAUGUUGGAUCUUUUCUUUUCUAGAAACAUUUGUGUGGUCUUUUUUGUUAGCCCAAGGGUUCUUCUAAUCAAGUUUUGAUGAUAACAAACCAUGGUUAAGUGACUAAUUGGUUUAAUGAUUAAGAAUCUCAAACAUAAAAUCGAAAAUUCAUCAAAGGACCAAAUGGAUACAAGAUCGAGACGCUUGGAAGACUUGUAAUCAUAGGAAACUAAUGUAAGAUGAAUGCAUGAGUGCACUUAGGAUUUUCACACGUUUCAUGCAACUUAGAAAACCCAGUUUAUUCUUUAAAACUUCAUCCCAGUUUAUUCUUUUUAUGGUUGUGUGUGCUUUCCUUGAUACGUGGCUUAUUUAUUAAGGAUACAUCCCAGUUUUUCAUGGAAUUGACAGUGGGUUGUUGUGUGUGAAUGCCACCAUUUCAACUGUGCUGUUGUUAUUUAAAAAAAAAAAAAAUGGAUUGUGCGCGAGUGGCAAUUCUCCACUAUGGAAAGUGGAUUGCUCCUUCAACCCAUGCAUGGCUACGUAUUCCUAUGUCUUUCUGCUUGUGUGUGAUCCUCCAAAAAAAAUUUUGGUUUAGUGCUAGUAGAUUUUAAGUGGUGGAUCCCCUUUUUUUGAAAACUAAGUGGCAGCCUCCCAUUUCAAAACGAAGUGGUAGCCUGCCUUUAGUCUUUGGAGAAAAAUCUGUGCAUGACUUUUUUUUUCCCAAAAAAUCCAUGCAUGGUGUCCUUUAAUAUUUGGAGAAAAAUCUAUGUGGGAUCUUUUAUUUUCUAGAAAAAUUUGUGUGGUCUUUUUUGUUAGCCCAAGGGUUCUCCUAAUCAGGUUUUGAUGAUAACAAAUCAUGGUUAAGUGACUAAUUGGUUUAAUGAUUAAGAAUCUCAAACAUAAACUCGAAAAUUCAUCAAAUGACCAAAUGGAUACAAGAUCGAGACGCUUGGAAGACUUGUGAUCAUAGGAAACUAAUGUAAGAUGAAUGCAUGAGUGCACUUAGGAUUUUCACACGUUUCAUGCAAUUUAGAAAACCCAGUUUAUUCUUUAAAACUUCAAUUUCAUUAAAACCCGAGUUUUUAACUAAUGUACCUUAGGCAAAAUGUUUUAUAAUUGGCUUAAUAAUUCACCUAAAUACAUUUUCUAAGUGUUAGAAAAGAAAGGAAUUAAAAAAAGGUUUUCGGGGCAAAAAAGGCUCAACCGGUCGAGGCUAUGGUCAACCGGCUCAACCGGUUGAGGAACCAAUCGAUCGGUUGUGCUUGUCCGAUCGAAGACCAAUCGAGGGAUGCCAAAAAAUUUCUCUCUCUCCUAGUGGCCUUCUCUUCCCGGUCGAGGUUCGGUCUAGGCAACGGUAACAUGUCAAGCAUUAAAUGCUCCGACGACUAGUGAAUCGGUCGACCCCUAGCCCGAUCGGACGAGGUUGCCUUUUGCUGUUUUUGACUCCCGAGCUUAGAAACCUAUAAAUUGAGAGCUCCACUUCAUUUAUUGAUAAAAGAGAACACUUGCAUUCAAUAGUCUACCUACCUUUUCUUGAUCAAAAAGCUCUCAUUUCCUUCAUAGUGCAUUAAAUCAUCACUUGCAUAUCCUUUAGUGCACUAUUGUGUGUCAUCCUAGCUUUGUUUUGUAUUUGAGCUAUCCUUAAGCUAGGUUGAGGGAUUAUUUCUUAUAAAAAUCUGAGUGUUAAAGCCUUCAAGAGAUUUGAAUCUUGAAGAGAUUGUGUAAGAGCCCAUUGGAGCCGGAGUCCAAGUGUAAGAAGAUUGGAAGCUUGGUUGAAGCUUCAAGUUAGUGGAACCCUCACUCGGUUAGGAGGUUGAGGAGAGUGGACGUAGGUAAGGAAGUGUCGAACCAUUAUAAACCCGAGUUUGAAUUCUCUAACUCUAUCUCUUUAUUUUGCUUAUAUUGUGUUUGAAUUUGUUGUGAUUGAAAAGAUUUUAAAAACCUAAUUCACCCUCCCCCCUUUUGGGUUUUUUUUUCUUAAUUAAGCAUAACCUUUGUUUUCUAAUUUUCUUUUUAGGAAAAUCCAUGCGUGGUAUGUCCAAACUCUCCAAGUGGCAGUCUGCCUUCUUCUAAAAAAUUUGUUUCUAUUUCUUUAUUCGACUACCUUCCAUGUCUUCCUAAUGAGUGCUUGUGCUCAAUGGUCAAUCCCUGGUGGUUGCCUCCUUUUCCCAUAUAUACGUGUUGCAAAAUCAACAUCCCACUAUAUGUGGGUUGCCUCUAUGGCAAGUUCACAUUUCCCACAUGAAACCUAUGAGUUUCCACCAAAAAUUGCCAUGAAAAAGUCUUUAUAUGCAUCUCAUGCAAUAAAAAGUCAAGCCAAUACUCAUCUUAUCUCGAAAAAUAAGUAACCAAAAUCAAGAUCAUGCCUAAGUGAACUAUGCCAAAAGAAGUGUCCAAGUGACCUAUUAUGAAAAAAGUGCCUAAGUGACCUAAGGUGAAUGUGUGUAAGCUGGAAGGUGUCUAGGAUGUUUAGGACAAUGCCUAAGCCUAAAAUAGGGUUGCCAAGGGUCACAAUGGGGUUAGAUAAAUCUCUCAAUCAGAGUCUCCAAGGUGGCUCAUAAAAGAUAAGCUACACGAGUAAUGAUGGGCCACCAGGGAAUUAUUGUAAAGCACCAAACGAACACAUAAUAGGACAUGUGUUAGAAUGAAAAAAUGGAGGGUUUACAAGUGGUCUCAUGGAUGAGCUUGAUAAUUUAAAUGACUCACAUAAUGAACGUAUGUGAUGUUUCUCUCCAAUAACAAGCAAAACAUCACUAGCAAUAUGAUGAAUGUCUCCUAAAUCACUUGAAGUAGUCCUAGCAAAUCAAUUAGAAAAAUCACACAUAUUGCUCUAAUGUAAUAUUAUAUACAUCUGUCAAUGAAUGGGAGAACUAAUGACACAACCAUCAUGUUGAUAUCUCGAACCCUCUAAUCUCAUAUGUAGGUGGGAUCACACUUAGAAACUCAUAACACAGUAAUGACCAAUCUAAGUCAAAAUGUGUUGGUGAUCGGAGGCCCAUGAAUAUGAAGUUCUAGGAUGAUAAUGACAUCUUAUAAAGUAAUGAUCAUCUCCUUAAUAGAUAGGUGAAAUGUGUGUGUCUUAGGACACCAUCUCUCAACAAGACUUGUGAUCAAUCCCCAGUCUAGUGUAACAUGCCUAUUAUGACAUCCAUCGUAAAAUCUAGACUAGAUAAUAUAAGGACAAAUGUGAGGGUUCAUCUCCCUUUCCCACAUAAAUUUAAAAAAUUAUUAUUGACAAGUUAAGACCAAACUAAGUUGCAAAAUAUAAAUAAGUCCAUUAGAUAACAAAUUUAUGUUUUCUCAUUUUCUCAUUUUUAAAGAGAUAUUAUGUGCUUCCAUGUACAUACAUGCUAAAGUCAAUUAUACGAGACUUAUAUCCAUCUUGUAGAACCAAAUCGAACCUAUCUAAUAGAUCCAGAUUAGAAGUAUGUCCUCUAUACUCCAUAUUUAUAACACAUUUAUAAAGAUAAAUGCUAAAAAAAUGUUAAAGAUAUAAAUUUAAUGAACCAUACUUUAUGAUUUUAAUUCUCAAUUAUUGUUCAUAUUUAUAAGAGAAAAGUUAAAAAAAUUGAUAGAGUUUUCCCUCUAUCAUGGACAUUAUCCCAAAUAAAAAUAAAUUGAUUAUGCAAAUUACAUUAAUAUUUGUAACCAAAUGAUCAAUAACUAUCUUGUAUCAAUUUAGUAAAUAAAUUUAAGUAUAUCUUUUCAUUUAUGACUAACAAAUAACUCAUACUUGUCCAAUAAAAGCCACACCUAAUUUCUAAAAUUUUGUCUUCACCUCAAGUGAGUGUUACAUUGAGAAAGAAAAAAUAUGAAAGAAAAAAUGAACACCUUUUUCUUUUAAUAAAAAAAGGCCAUAACGAAACAUUAAAUCUCACUGUUACACCUAUCUUCAAUGGAAACAUGAGGAUGUGAAUGGUGGCGGUGAUAUUCUUUGCUUGAAGCUCAUAAACAAAUAUUCCUUACUAAGCCUAUGCCAUUUAGUAUUUCAAUAGUGGACCCCCCCCCCCCCCCCCCCCCCCUCCUUGCAUUUCAGAUUUAGCAAACUUAGAACCAAAUAACAAAGUGCAUUUGAACCCAUAAAGAAGUAAUGAGACUCUCCUAUAUUGGCAAUAGAAGAAAUUUUUGGAGGUAUAGGAGAUUCACGGAUGAAGAAGUUGGGCCCCAAUUGAGAUAAGACCCAAGAAAAGAUGGGGUAGAGAGGGAUGGUUGGAAAUUGUAAAGUAAGAUUUUCAAAAUGUAGUUGAUGACUAAGAUUUUGACAAUUUAAAAAAGGUUUAAAAAUGUAGUUAGCAAUCGGGGUUUUGUAACAUUUAAAAAAUAAAAUAAAAUCUCAGGCCACAUGGUAGCCCAUGUGAUUCAGAAGCUUGAGAAUUAUUUUAUAAGAAGACUUAAUUUGUGAUUUUUUUAUAACUAUAUUAUUUUUUUUCUUAACACACGAAAAAAAUUAUGAAAUAAGACAAUUUUCCUAAGAAAGCAUGUAAGUGACUCUUGGUUAUUUUAUUUAACUUCUUCUAGUUUGGAGAGGAUUAAUACCUUUGCUUUUACUCACUUGCUUGGAUAUGUACACGUUGUUCAUGUCACUUUUCAUUUAAUUUUCUGAUUAAGGGAAUUGGAACCGUACGUAACUGUCUUUAUUCCCUCUGAAACUUGGACUUGGAGUUGGACUUUCAAUCUCAUCAGUCGUGUUUCCAUAAAAAAGAAGAUGGAUUAACCAAUUUUCCUAUGCCUACUAAUCAUACACAAAACUCCACUUCCAAAUAAAAAGGAAUGGGAUAUCACUUGUUAAUAGUGGCUAAAGACUAUUAAUAACCAUGCAAAGAAAUGUCACAUUUUUUGUUCUACGCAAAUUUUAUUCAUCAACUACUAGAACCAUUUCAUACAAUAGUAGCUUUUCGAUCCUUUGAUAAAUGGACACUUGAUGUGAUAACACCAACUACACCUAUAUAUUCAAGCAAUCAUGCGUAUAUAAUAGUGGAUAUGGAUUACUUCUCUAAAUGGGCAAAAGUUUUGUCAUUCAAGGAAAGUGAACGAGGAAACACAAGUUUACUUUCAUCGGAACUAAUAUUAUAUAUUGAUAUGACUUCCCAUUAUUACUUACGAUGGAAUAUGCUUCCAUAAAAUGGCCUAGAUGAACAAACUAUCCAAGAAGUUUGGGAUCAAAUAAUAUAUAUAUAGUUCAUGUGUGAUUCUUUGGUUGACAACCUUGUUAAGGGGUGAGUGAAGCACUUUGGGCAUACCACAUACUACAUGCUAGACUUCCACCCAAGCUACCCUAUAUUCCUUAUGAACAAAGUAGAAGUUGUCAUCUCUCUUGAAUACCAAAUCCUUUCACCUAAUAAUGCUAUCUAAAAAGGUCUUAAAAAGGAUAAAAAUGCGCAUAUUUGAAUUUUUGAAUUAGGAGUGCUACUUAAAAAGAAGCUAGAUAUACAAUAAUAGAAUGUUAUCAAGCAUAUCUCUUCAAAGUUUUUGACCAAAAAAUAUAUGAUUUCUCAUUUUAGGUAGGAGACUUAGUACUCACUAUUCAAAAACCAAUUAUCAUUACUCAUAAAAACUAAUAGAAAGUUUGGGCCAAAGUAGGAUGGACCUUAUAUUAUGCAACAAUUAUGCCUAUAAAAUUGUUGCAAAAGAGGUUUUAGAAUCAAAUCAAUGAAUGAAAAAUUAUUAAAGCAUUACUAUGCUUGAAGGCUAGUCAUUUUCCCUUAAAGUGCAAUAUUAAGUUGCAUAGUACUAUGUGGAUCCGCAUUUUUCACAUGCGUUCCCACUCAUUGUCGAGACUCACUUUUUAGAAGUGAAAAAUUAGUUUUAUUAAAGUCGAAGUUGCCACUGGGGAUUUGAACCCUAACAAAAGGUUCAAUUUAAGGAUAAAAAUAUCGAUAAUCACAUAUAUAUAUAUUGGUACUUUGAUUUUAUGAAUAUAUUGAAGAAAUAUGGACAAAUAUUUUGACACAAAAUAUGUACAAAAUAAAAAUUAUAUAAAAAGUAAAAAUAAAUAUUUUAAAAUUAUUUUUUUAAAUAUAUAUAUAUAUAAUUUGACAUAUUUGAUAAUAAUAUAUAAGGGUCUCCAAAAAGCCCGUGGCCCGCUUUAGGCCCGGUCCGACCCGACAGGCUAAAGCCCGGCCCAAGCCCGCCGGGCCCAAGCUCGGCCCGAGCCCGUUUAUGGGUGGGCCGGGCCGCGAGCCCGUAGGCCUGCUCCUUUAAAAAAAAACUACAAAAAUAAAAAGUAUUAAAAAAAAUAUUCAUUUCAAAAUUUUAUUCAUUGAAUGUAUAAUUACAUUUGAAAAUGUGGGAAAAGUUUACAUCACUACAAAAUAAAUACAUCCCAACUAGGUUGGCACCUAUUUAUUUGUCAAUCAUCUGUAUUUUUCAACCACAAAAAAUAAAAAUAAAAAUAUAAUAUACAUUUAGUCAUUAUUUUCUGGCGGUGAUGGCGAACUAUCAUGCAUCCAUGAAGAUCUUGAUAAUUUUAAAGAUUCCAUAUCGGUAAGCAUCUUUGUUUCUCGAAUGGAAUCAUACAUCCUUUUAUCUGCUAUUUCCCAAUCUUUCACACAUAUCCCUGCUUUAAUAACAUCUGACGCUAAGUUGCAUCGUUUUUUACUAACUACUCUUCCACCUGCACUAAAAGCAGCUUCUGAUGCAACUGUACUCACAGGAACUGUUAGUACAUCACGAGCAAUUAUAGAAAGCACAGGAUAUUUGUGUUGAUGUGAUUUCCACCAUAUUAAAAUAUUAAAAUCUUCUUGAUCUUCAAAUGAAAUUAUAUCAGUAUUAAGAUAUUUAUCUAAAUCAGAUGUAUUAUUUGGAGAAUUAUUUGUUGUCUUUUUUCGACUUUUCAACAUUUCUAGAGCUCCUUUAUAAAAAGAUGAGGAGUUUGUAGAUGUAGGUGGUAAUUUAAUAGUAUUAAUAUCAUUACCAUAUUUUUCUUUAUAAUAGUUAUAUAAAUUAUAUAAUAAUGAAUUUAUUUCAUUUUUAAUUUCUUCAAUUUUUAUUUGGUCAUUAAAAUAAAUAAUUGUUAACCAUUCAUCCAAAGCUUCAAAUUUCAAUCUAGGGUCCACAAUUAAAGCAAUAUAAAAAAUUAAAGGUAUUUCUCCCCAAUAUUUUCUAAAUUUUUAUAUCAUUACAAAUAUUGUAUCAUUAAAUAUUUCAAAACUUAAAUAUUUUUGAAGUACAAUAAAAAUAUUAGUUAUUUGCGUAAUAACUCGAUUUGAAGUUGGAUAAUAUACACCACAAAAAAUGUUUGUUGAAGUAUCAAAAAUUUCAAAAAGAUCUCUUAAAACAUCCGCAAUAUGCCAAUCAUAAUCAUUUAAUGCAUAAAUAUCUGCUUCAUAAUCAUUGUUAAUUAAUUGUAUUUCAUAUAAUUCGACUACUUUUCUAUAUUUUGUAAUAUUUUCUAAAAGUUUAUAUGUGGAAUUCCAUCUAAUAGCCAUAUCCAAAUUUAUAUUUUUUCUUUUCAUAUUUAACAUUUUGCAACAAUCAAAAAAUAAUUCAUGUUUUGCUUGAAAACUAUUAAUACUAUAUGCAAUGCCUCUAAUUUUUUUCCAAUGUACUAUCAACAUUUUUUAAUCCAUCCUUUACAAUUAAAUUUAAAAUAUGUGCACAACAACGCACAUGAAAUAUUUUAGCAUGAUCUUCUUUUACUUGCCAAUAUCGUUUUAGUCUAUGUAUUGCUGCAUCAUUAUUAGCAGCAUUAUCUAAUGUUAUUGUCAAUAUUUUAUCACGAAUGCCUAAAUCUAUAAUUUCAUCAUUUAUUAAAGAUGCUAUAUUUUUACCACUAUGUGGAGUAUUUAUUAAUUUAAAUAAAAUUAUUCUUUUAUUUAAUUUCCAUUCAUUAUCAAUGUAGUGAACAAUUAUAUAUAAAAAACCAGUAUGAGUUAAAGAUGUCCAAAUGUCAGAUGUUAAACGAAUAUUUCCUUCAAAAUUUGCAAAAUUUUUUUUUAAAAUUUCUUUUUGUGUAUAAAUUUUUUUCAUAAUAUCUCUUUUAACUGUAUUUCCAGAUCAACCUUUAAAUUGAGGAUUAAUACCUCGUUGAAUUGUUCUUGCAAAAUCAUGAGUUUCCAUCAUGUUGAAAGGUUGUUCUGCUCUUAUUAUAUAAUCAAUCAUUUCUUCACAACAGUUAGAUUCAUCAUAAGAAAAUGUUUUUAAAUUUCCACUUUCAUUUUUACUUAAUUGCAUAUAAUUUCUAAUAUCUACAUUAUUUUUAGUUUUACAAUUUUCAUGAUGUCUUUUUAAAUGACUUGUAUCUGCAUUUGAGCCACCAGUAAGAAAUUUAUUACAAAUUUUACAUUUUGCUUUUAUUUUUUUUUUAUUAUUUUCUAAAAUUAUUUCUAUUCUAUCAAAAAAAUUCCAUAUAUUUAAAGUAAAUUUUUUGUUUGAUGAUAUUUCAUCACAUGGACUAGACGAAGAAGCACUUGUCAUAUUAUAAUUAUUGAUAAAAUAUUAUGCCAAAAAUAAUAAAGUAAUAAAUAUAAAAAAAAAUGUAACAAAAAAAAUAAAGUAGUAGGGGUGAAGUAUGUUACUCAAUUAGAGAACCUAUGCAGAAAUUCCUAGCAAAUUUGAACUCUUGGAGCCACCAAUGCUUGUUUUGCACCAUCAACAAUAUUGUAUAAUUUGAGGGAAAAAUAAAAGAAUUUAAAAUAUUGUAGAAUGUGAGAGAAAUAGAGAGAAUUUGAUGAAAAAAUGAAAAGGAAGAAAAUGUAUUUAUAGGAAGGUUAAAAAUAAUAAUAAUAAUAAUAAUAAUAAUAAUAAUAAUAAUAAUAAUAAUAAUAAUAAUAAUAAUUGGCCAUGUGACCGUUGGAGGCUUAGCUCCAACGGUCACAUGGGCUGGAGCUAGGCUCCAACAGUCACAUGACCGUUGGAGCCUUUAAUUUUUUUUUUUAAAAUAAUAUACUUUAUUUUUAUAUAUAUAUAACUAACUCAAUUAAUAAACAUAAAAAGAAUAUAGUUCAGUUGGUUAGAACCUUGAAGUUUAAACAUGAGGGGAGGGGUUUGAAUCCCUCCCUCUCCCUUAGGGGCUUUUUUAAAAGCCAUUUUGGCUUAUUUCAAAAAGCCUGUCGGCCCGACCCGCCCUGCAGCCCGCGGGCCUAGCAUUUUAGCAUGGCCUGGUCUGUUGACUAGUCAAAUGGCUCAUAGGCUCGGCCCGAACUGGGCCGCGGGCCUCUUAUUUACGGACCGGCCCGACCCGGCCCGCCCGUUGGAGACCCUUGAUAAUAUCUUCUAUAUUAAGUUACAUUAUAGUUUAUUUUACAAUAUUAUUAUGAUAAUAUGUCUAAUUUUAAAAUAUAUUUAAUAUUAAAAUUAUGAUCUAUUUUAAUUUAAAUGUAUUCAAUGAUAUCAAAUAAAUAAUAAUAUAUGUAUAAUUCUUUUAUUAUUUAUAUUUAUUAUUUUUAAUAAAUAUAUAGAUUAUAUAAAAAAGACCGGAUAUAUCUUUUCAAAUUUUGUAUCGCUCUCCAAGGAUAUUAGAUGUAUGGGAAUUUGUAUUGCUAUCUACGGAUACGUUGAUAUAUGGGUGAUUUAUCAGGAUAAUUAGAAAUUCUAAUUAUGUAAGCAGGUACGGAGUUCUGUGUCGGUGCGAUCUUGUCGACAACAGCUCCAAAUUGUGCAUCUUGCUCAUAGAGAGUAGCGGAAUGCACCAAUCGUAGGCUCAGAGUACCACUGAGUCGUCUGGCAGAGACCCAACUGAAGGUGCCUGUGUUGUUCCUGAUCUGAUCAGGCUUCAAACUACAAGGUGGAAUACUGGUUCCCCUAUAUCAGAAGCUGGAGAUACCCACCCCAUAUGCUCGUCUGGAUGUGCUCCUACCCUUUGAAGCCUUCUUCCGAGUCAAGUCCGAAUUGAUAAGGCUAGUGAGUUCCCAACCAACUGUACUCAGCAUGCUGCCAGGUGGAGACCCUCCAUAUUUGAUGGCUUCCUAAUAUUAAAAUGCUGACCACUGGUCUUCAUGUUCCACAGGCUUAAUUGUGUCCUUUGCUGAAAGAAUGGAUAGUGAUCCAUUUUAACACAUGAUUCACGCCGUCUUUGCCAUUCUUCAUGGUCUAGCCCUUUUAUAUAUAUGCUUCCUGAACUGUUGCUAUUAAUAAAAUGUGGUAUCUAUCCCGUACACCUUCCUGAUGGCCAGCGAAUGCAGAAGCUACAGAAACGGUUCCAUCUUUUGCUUCCGCCACUUUGGCAUCCUCCAUGAUGAGAUCGAAGGUGAAUAAUCAUAUUCUGGGGAUUUAUGUCCUGGAUAUUCUCAGUAAUGCCCAAUUUCCUGGUGCCGGCCUCAUUUCCAUGGGAACUGAUGGAUAACUUAAGGCUUCUACCAUCUGCGUGGUUCGCUUCUAACACAGGAAACUUCACGGCUAAAAGCAAGAUACCAAGAACAUCAAGGCUGUGACAAAAAUUAGUAUUUUUAACUUGUAGGAAUUUGAAAGGCAACCAACCAUCUAGCUCUGUUCUUAAAGCUCCCAUAGGAGGAUCAGAGGCUGGAUUGCUCAAGAUGAACUCAUCCAUUGUUGCACUUAAAAAGAAUUGGCAUGAAUUGUGGCCGCUCUAAUAGGUUCCCUAAACCAUCAUCCAAGUGGGCUUGCGGAAGGUAGCGAGUUUAAAACACCUAGGGCGAUGAACAGUGGACUGUGAUGCUCACAAAAGAGAAAAGGAAGAAUUCAAUAAUUCCUAAGAAUCCAUUUGCCUGUCAUCCAAAUUUUUAUAUUCUCUUCAGUCUGACGCGUUAUGCCAUAUAUUAAAAAUAGCGGCUUCUUCCAAGCCGAGACAGACUGUGCAAAGUUCGCAAGGCCAAUCAUCACCAUAAUCUGAAGUUGGCCUCCUCAAUCGCAGCUUGUAUCCGAAUGCUCACUUCACGGGAUGGAUUGUAAUGAAAACUAAUCUCAGUCCCAGCUAUGGCAGCAUCCUCACUUGACAGCAUUUUCUGCAUAUUCUAGAACAAAGCAAUAAACCCUCAAAGGCUCCUUCGGAUCAGAGUUAGAAGACUGUCCCUCAGGAACGUGAACACUAUGGUGGUUCUGAUAAGCAGUGAUAUUGCAUUAGAGCCUUUUGGAACAAGAGGAUCUUUUCAGGUGGAAACUGUAAACUGCUUCAUGUUGGGCUGCAACCUUUUCUUCAAGCAAUACUUUCUUUCUGUAUCACGACUUAUGUUGCUUCCGGAGCCAUCCCGUGUGGACUGCCCUUCAGUGAAAGAAUAUGUGUGUUGACAUGUUGGAUUGUAAUCUUUGUUCCACUCUAAUGGCUUUUGGUCCUCCUCUUUCUCUUUAUGACAGAGAACCAUUUAGUGAUCCAUCUCUAUAUUGUAGCAUUGCUGGUGCUUUGCAAUACUACACUCUCACCAAGCAUAACAUCUAUUUUUCCGUGACCAAAGUAUGUCGGUUUAUGCAUGCGCAAACUCUUAUUCAUUGGCAAGUUGUCAAGCGUAUCUCAUGAUUUCCCAAAGCCACAAGUUCUUAUGGUCUUUCUGUUCAAGCUUACAAUGAUCUAUCUUUUCUUGGUUAUACUGAUGUCGAUUGGGCUAGUUGCCCUGAUAACAAGCACAAUACUAGUGGGUACAACACUUUUCCUGGUCCUAAUCUCAUUUCAUGGGCAUUUUCAAAGCAGAAGGUUGUGUCUCACUCCAAUAACGAAUCUGAAUAUAGGGGACUCACUAAUUAAUGUUGUUGCCAAGGUCACUUGGAUUGAAUCUGUCUUACGUGAGUUGCGUGUUUCUCUACCCCAACCACCAAUUUUGUUGUGUGACAACAUUAGUGCUACACACUUGGACAAACCAUGUUGAAAUACACUAUCAUUUUAUCCAUGAAAGGCUUAUGCAUCACACACUCAAAAUUCAAUACACCUCUUCUAUAGACCAACUAGUCAAUGCUAUGACCAAAGCUCUUCCUUCAUCUCACUUGUACAAUCUUCAGUGCAAGCUGAUUGUUCUUCCCAAACCACUCAACUUGAGGGGAGAUGUUAAGCCAAUUUAAUAAAUUGAUUUCUUUUGGUUAAUUUGUUAGAAUCAUUUUUAUUAGAGGUUUGUUUGUACAAUUACAUCCAUUUAUCAGGAGAGUACACGUGUACAACUCCUCUUUUAAUCUCACCAUUGUAUAUAUAUGAUACACGACCUUACUCAGAAUUGCAUAACAUUUCCUCUGCUCAUUCCUUUUCUUCUUUGAAUUUUCCCUUACCUCACUGAUUUUGAUUUAUACCUGGUGUUUUCACCUUUGGUCUCUACCUUUCUAGCCAGUUUUCUAAUUAAUCCGUAUAUGGUAUACCUGUCAACUAAUGAGGAGAAAGAGAAAAGGGGAUUGCUGUUCCACCAGCUACAUAUAAUAAUUAAUUACAAUCAUGGUAAUGGAUCCUGAAAUCCAUCCUUUGUGGAUUUUGUACGGAAUAUUGUUGUUAUGUAUGUGGGCUCACUUAGAUGUAUAUUGCUAGCCUGUCUGGGAAAUGUGAUUGCAGGUCCAGAUUAUGAUGUUGAUAUUAGUGGGAUAAGCAAGAGAUGCAGUUAACACGUAUGUGAUGGACUUGAGUAACUUUUCCAUUUCAGUCCAUUUUUUAAGAUUAUGCUUAGUCUUAUUACAAGGAAAGACCAUAAGAAUCAUGAGUCAUUGGCAAGGUAAUAUCAUUCCCUCUUUACAGGCUUCUUCACCUUUUGGUUUUUUUAAUAUCCAUCAAGAUCUUUUAAUUGGAGGACAAUUACAAGUAUAUAUAUAUGUAUUAAAAGGGGAAAAUAUUAAAACAGGAAAUUUUAGGGAAAAUAUAAUAAUUAUUUCUUCCUUCUUUCCCAUAUAGAACUACACAAAAUAAAACUUUAAUAAUUUUUUCUUAUCUUUUUUAUUAUUAUUUUUUCUUAGAAACAUCCGUGGUCUCACAAGCUUGUAAUCCUAGAUUGUUAGGCUCCUUUAACAGUGCCCCAACAUCGUGGUCCAAUGACAAGCUUCCACGCCUUAAAAUCAGAAAAUGCCAUUAAACUUUAUCAGACAUUACAGUUCAAGACAAAGCUUUCAUUUGCUUAAUGUGAUAAUGAAAUUGUUAAUUUCAUUUCGUGGGCAUCUAAAUUUGGACGAGCAAGACCUCUGAAUUCCCUGUUUUUAUCACCAGCAGAGGAGAUAAAAUCUUAAUGGUGAGAAUCUCCACGUGAAAUUUAUGUGUACUGUCAACAUAUUUUUGUUUAUAUAGUCCAGUAGCUGCAGGAAGUCUAGAUUAUAUAGGUAGCAGUAGCACUAUUUAUAGCACUCGAUAUUCGCUGUAUGAAUACAUUAAACCUUGUUUUCAAUACGCAUCACAAGCAAGUACUAGAUACUACAAGGAGUGACAGUCGCAUCAACAUUUCUUGAUAAUAGCAGUGACUGAUUUAUACACAGAACAGUACUGUACACGUACCAGUCACCAGAGAUAGGAUCUUAUUCCUACAUACGACUCUUAUUGAUCGAAGUCACUCAGUUGGGGUAGCCUGGAGUUGGAGGUUUGUGUGGUGGCUUCUUCUUUGGAGGAGGCUUUAUCUUUGGAGGCAUCAUCUUUGGAGGCAUCUUGUGUGAGUCUUCUUCAGCAUUCUCUACAGGAGGAUGGCCAGGCUUAUGACCCUUAGGUGGUUUGCCAACUGGGAUUGGUGGCUUGUGUCCUGAGAGUGGCUCCUCUUCUUCGGGAGGUUUGCCAACUGACGUUGGUGGCCCGUGUCCUGGGGGUGGCUUGUGUUUUGGGGGUGGUUUCACUCCACCGGGAGGUUUACCAAUUGGUGUUGGUGGUUUGUGCUCAAUCGGUGGCCUCUCAACUGGGGGGCGCUUGGGGUAAUCAGCGAGUGAAGAAGUGGUGAGAACCACCACUCCAAGCAACAACACUAGCAAGUAUGUGGAAGACAUCUUUGAGUUUGGCUCAGAUGGUGUAGAACUAGAAUCCUGGGUGGCCUUUUAUAUUAGUUGGGCCCUAUGCCCGAACGACAAGUGUCAUGGUGACACAUAAAGUGAUGGGGUCGAUUUGGGCCUACCGGAUUUGAAAACUUGGACAAUUCGAGAAGCGUCUCCUGACUCCGGGUUGUAAAGUGAAAGAUUAGGUAUCGACCAUUGAAGUAUGAUCACAACUUUUGGCCUUUGGCUCUCUCUACUGCCGUAUAGCUUUUUUCCUUUGGAUAUUUUUCUUAGCUAGACACAAUUAUUGAGCAGUCUAAUCUCGAAAUGGGAUUAGUAUAGCUUUAAGCAAAUUUAUUAUAGUUAGUGGAGGACUUUUAAGAGUGCAGACGACAUUUAACACAUGCAUGCAGUAGUAUAGGGGACAUAACACUAUUCUUUUUCCAAAGAUUCACAUGAUUUUUAUAUUAUAGUAUUGGCACAUUGUAUGUAGCUGGUUUUGUGGUUAAAAUUCCAUAUGUAGACACUGGCGUUUCUCCAUUUCUCACAAUUGAUGUUUACCUCCACGAUUACUAGAUUAGAUAUACCAAACAAUAACACAUUGUAUAAUCUAUCCGCCCUUCAAAAUCUACUGUAUGAUGAAAUGUUUCAUGUGUGUGUGAAGUGUUAGAAAUGCACUAUAGGCAACAUCAUCUUCUUUUGUCUAGGCUUGGGCCUCAAAUUAUACUCCCAUGCCAUGAUAAAUUUUCAUGUGCAUUCUCUAAAGAAGAGUGUCUUGAAUGUGCCAAAUCAUUUUGAUUGAUUUUAUGAUGUUAAUUGCUCCGCAUAUGGAUGGGUAUGUGCUUUAUUUGCUUAUUCAAUCCACAAUUACCUUGAACUGAAGUCCUAUUGGAGCUCUAUUAUUUUAGCAACGUCCUGUCAAAUAGGCUGCUAACUUGGGGUGGUAUGGACCCAAUGAUCCAUCUUAAUCUUGGGUUGAUUUUGUCUGACUCUAUCUAUCUCAGAGAGAACCAGGAUCACCAGUGCUGGUCUGCUUAAAGAAGACUCAGUACUGGAUUAAUAUUGGUUUGGGUCAAUAGCUUAUAAUGCAUUGAAUGCAGAAUAAACAAGAUCAAUGAAACCCAAAACACACUGCCCACACAACUUCACUCUGGUGUCUGUUAUUCAUCAAUUCUAUUCCCACAUGAACUGGUUCAAGUUUAAGAAAAUGACAACGGAUCCACUGUAUUAACUUGGUUUUGCUUGGUUUUGAGCUAGUUGCCAAACCAGCCAUGAGUUUUACCUCUAAUGUCAAUGAACAAACCCCAAAUGAACAACUGCAACAGCUUAAAGAGAAGGAAUGGAGAUGAAAAUCCCUGUUUCUUCUCAUUCUGGGGACAAAUUAGAACAUAACUACAAAGGUUCUAUUAAUUGACUUACUCUACCAUGAAUUAUGGUUCUUUGGUUUUCCAAAUUUAAAUUGUACAUGAGAUUAUUUUUUUCCUUUAUAUAUAAACAUAUUAAGGUUUUCUUAUUUCGUGGGCAAAUGCGCUAAGGAUGAAAGUCAUUUCAUUUGGCUGCAACAGCAUCUUAUAAUCAACAUGCAUAAGCAGCAGUUUUAAUUGAUCGAUUGAACACCGACUCACAAGAAUAGAUAGAAUGGUACAAGACAGCUCUUAUUAAUUUAUACUCGUUACUCAUUUUAUGUAGCCCCAUUAAGAUGGCUGGCUGGACCACCGAGGUCUGGGGGUGGUGUUGCUUGUGUGAUGCAGCGGGCCGGGCAGACACUUCUCUAGUUGCUUCUAUUUGGAGUUAGAGGAUCAGUCUCUGCCAACCUUGAGGACUCUCUACCUCAGAGGGUCCAGGUGGUGGACUCUGGUGUCGGUAGCUUUGAACUCUCAGUAGACUAGUGUGUCUUAAUCAGUCACUGCCAGAGGCUGGCGUAGGCAGUGACGAUAAGGUGAGACAAAUUACCGAAUAGUCAAUAUCGACUGCACUUGACCAUUAUAGAUUUGUUCUGACAAAAGUGAGAAAAGGGAGAAAAUCGGAUGUUGACCUUUAUAGAAAAAGAUAAGAUUUACUGCAACACAGAGCACUGAUUUGUUACUUGGAAACCAAGUUAUGCUAUUAGCUAGCCUCCAUUAGCAGCAGGGUACCUUGCUGCCUGAUCCUAAUCUGAGUUCCCAAGGUUUCAAUCUUCGUUUGUUAACGCUUCAGGAUUUGGAUAUUUCAGCUUCGUUUCUCCAUUUAGCCAACGCUGCCUGGUUUGGAUUUCAAUCCUCAUCUGGAACAUUCUUUUUUCGGUCUGAUUCAGGAAGUGUUUGGUGAUAGUUGAUUAAAAUUAAACAGUACUAUCAUACAAAUAAAGCUGAUCUAAUUUUGGUGGGCAAUAUACCAACUCAUUUAUUCUUGAAAACACCAUGGGGAAUUGGAGGUCCAUCCGAAGUACUAUUUGAUGGGACUCACAAAAAGAACAGGUGCACAUUUAUGAGAUCCGUGGAAGAGAUAACUAUGACAGCUAUGCAUGUACAACAGAUUUAUGUCGAGUUCACCUCGUAGAUAUUUUGUUUUCAGUGUCGGUGGACCCCAAAAUGGAAAUCGGAAAUUAAGGUUAUAUUUAUUUUUUUAUUUAAUUUUAAAUAGAAUUUUAAUUUUUAAUAAUAUUAAGUAUUAAAUUAUUUUUUUAAGGGUAUUUUAUUUUUAUUAAGUAUUAAAAAGUAAAAAAAAUUAAUAUGUUGCUUUUUUAUUUUAAAAAAAUUAUAUAUUUUAAUUUUUUCUAUUUACUAAAAAGUUUAUAAUAAAUUAUAAAAAAAUAAAAAAAUAAAAAACUUAAAUUCUGAAAAUAAAUUAUUUUUAAUAAAAAAAUCCAAAAAAGCAAACACCACCUAAAUUUGAGAUGACUCAAAAUUUUAUAUUUUUUUUCACCUAAAUUAUAUUCAUAAAUUUAAAAUUAAAAAAUUAGGAAGUUGAAUUUUAUUUUGGAUAAUUGGAAACUACAAGAAAUCAAUAAAAAUAUUUGGAAAAAAAAGAAAAAGAAAAACUAUCUAUAUAUUCACCCCCUUCUAAGAAACAUAACUUUAGUUUUUAACUAUUUUUUAAAAUAAUUUUUGAAAAAUGUUAUAUAAUAUUUUAUAAAACAAAAAAUCUGUUUGACAAUUUGAUAUGUCUUUAACUUAUUUUUAAUAUUUAUAUAUAUAUAUUUUAAAAAUAAUUUUAUAUUUAGAACUUUAUCUUUAAUUAUUAUAUAUAUUUAUAUAAUUAUUUUUUUUAAAACAACUCUUAAAAAAUAAGUGAAAGUAAUUGAAAACAACUCAAAGAUAUUUGAUGAAAACACUCUAAUUUGUAUUUUUGAGAAUAAAAAAAUAAAUAAAUAAAUUUCUAGUUAUCAAAUGUAUUUUUUAAUUCUUUUAUUCUAAAAAAUAGAAAAUCGUUUUUGAAAAUAAUUAUUAAACAACAUUCUUAAAAAUUCACUCGUUACAAUCUAGAUUUAAUGCAAGAAUGAUUGAAGGAGUCCUCCAAUAGAACCCAAAGUUAUAAACAUGAACAAGAAGCCCUAGAAACACCAAAGAUCUCAUAUGGUAUAUAUAUGAGCUUGAUUGAGAACUGUUUUAAAUUCAGUUUUUUUUUUUUUUUUUUUUUUUUGUUUUCAAAGUCAAAACAAGUUUACUUUUAAUUUUUACUUCUUUUUUUUAAUUUUAUAAAUAACAGUUUUUUAAUAAUUUAUUUUGAAAACAUGAUUAUUUUUAAAACUUAUAAUGAAAAUAGGAAUUUUUUUUUUAAUAUCAUGGUUAUUUUCCCUUCUUUUAAGGAGGGCUAUUUUAAAAAUAAAUUUACAAAUAUGAAAAAUGAUUCAAACUAAAGCAGUACAAAUAAAAAACAUUUUUAAGAAAUAUUUAAAAAUAGAGAAAAUUAUUUGAGAACAUUUGAAGUCCUUAAAUAGACUUUUGUUUUAGAAAAGGCAAGAUAAUUAUUUUUGAAAAUUGUUUUCAUAAUGAUAUGCAAAAACCUACGUAAAAACCAUAAUUAUAAUCGGCCACAUAUCAAAUCUACUAAAUAUGAAAAGUAAGUACAUAAUUAUAUUUGACUUAGAUGCAAGGAGGAAAAUGUCGCGAUAUUAUCGCCGAAAUAUCGUGUGUCGAAGGGUAUCGACACGAUUUUUCUUGCAGAAAUAUCGGCCAGUCGAUUUUUCGGGAUAAAUCUCGAGAAAUCGGCAAUUUAUCGCGAUAUAUCGGCGAUUUUUCCUCGAUAUAUCUUCUGGUCAACGCGGGUCAACGGAGUCAACACGCUACAGUGAAAGUCAAAUGUGCUACAAUGUCCCCGCUACAAUCACCUCCCCAAACAAAUUGCCAAAUUGCUUCCGAGGGGAUUUGAACCAGCCUUCUUGCCAUUUGGGCUAACUCGCCCUUAUGAUAUAUAUUGCAUUAAACAUAUAUAUACUUAAAGUCCUUAUAUAAAGAAAAUGUUAAAAAAAUAUUUUAAAGAGCAAAUUAAUUAUAAUUAUUUUAUAAUUAAAAGCAAAAUUUUCUUUUAAUUAAUUACCAAAAAUAUAAAAAUUAUAUAAUUUUCUUCAUAAUGUUUUUAAUAUCAUUAAUAAUUAAUUAAAUAUUAAAAAAUUAUAUAUAUAUAUAUAUAUAUAUAUAUAUAUAUUAUAAUUUAUUUUAUAUUGUUUAAUACAAUUGAAUUAAAUGGAUCAUAUUUUAAUAUUAAUAUAUAUUUUAAAAUUAGACAUAUUGUAAUCAAAUAUCAUAAUAUUAUAUGUAAUUUAAUAAUAAAUGUACACUUAUAAAAUUCAUAUUUUUAUCGAUGCAUACAAUAUUAUUAUCAAAUAUGAUAAAUCAUGUUAUACAUAUAUCAAAAUUUUCAAUAAAAUAACUUUAAAAUGUCUAUUAUACUUCUAAUUAUAUUAUUAUGAGGUUUUCUUUACAUUUUCAUGAGUUUUAAACAAUUUUAAGCACCAAUAUUUUUUUCCAAAAUAUCCACCGAUAUAUCUCCGAUAUAUCCAAUAUAUCUCCGAUAUCUCCGAUAUAUCCGUAAAAUCGAAGUACCGAUAUAUCCGUGAUUACCGAUAUUUUCAUCAUUGCUUAGAUGCAACCUUCUUCCAAAUGACAUACUUUAGUCAAUACUUAUAUUUUUUCGUUUCACUUCUUUGAUACAACACCUCAUGGAUUUAUUGUUUAAUUUAUUUGUAAUUAUAAAACUAUUUUUCAUUUUUAAUAAGACUUGAAUUAAUUUAAUAAAUAUUAUAUAAUUUGAAUUUAUAAUUCUUUUUAUAAAAUCAAAGUAUAUUAAAAAAAAAACAAUUUAUCCGAAGAAAGUUUUUUAUUUUUUAUUUUUUAAAACCGAUUUUAAAAAUAACUAGCUAGACACCCUUAUUUUGAUAAAAUACGAAAUAAAAGUGUAAAAACAACAUGGCCAAAUAGGGGCUUAAAUUUUAUUUUUAAAACAUUUUUUUACACUAAAGUGCAUUUUAAAAACACCAUCAAAACCAACUACAAGUUAUGCUUCUUCCCGUAAUAGAAAUAUUUUAGGCCAAAAUAGAACCUCCCCAAAUAAAGACCCUAUACUAAACUCCUUUUCAUUUUAUUAAUACAAAAGUGGGGAAAAAAGGUCUAUGCUCACCUAAAAAACAUGAAUAUUGUGAAUUCACCAUUUCUAUAAGGAAGUUGAAAACUUCAAAAUUUUAUCAACAAAUUCUCUAAAAUCCUCAAAAUAUAUAGGGCCUGUUUCACAAAGUUUUUUAAAAUUUGUUUUUAUAAAUUGCUUUUAAAAUAUAGAAUAAAUAACAGUUUUUUAGAUUUUUUGAAAAAUAAGAGUGUUUGGUAAGAUGUUUUUUUUUUUUUUUUUUUUUUUAAGAAUUAAAUAAAAAAUAAAAAAAUUGUUUAGAUAAAAGAAUUUGUAUUGUUUUUAAAAACAAUGUCUUACUUUUAUGUUAUAAAAAUUUUAUUAAUUUAAUUUAUAAUAAUAUGAAAUGAAAUUCAAGUUAAGUCUUAUUAAAAAAUACAAAUUAAAUCUAUAAUUAUGCAUGAGUUAAAGAUAAAUAUAUAUUUUUUAAAACUAUAAAAUAAAUUUUCUAUUAUAGUGAAACAAAAAUUACUAUAAAAUAAAAAUAAUUUUAAUAUUCAUUUUUAAUACAAGUCAAAUAAGUACUUUAAUUAAUUUUUUUUAUCAUGAUUUCUUAUGUUUUUUUUUUUUUCUAGAAAUUAUUUUAAGUAAUAUAACUAAUUUUUUUUUUAAUGUUUUAUAAAAAUAAGGAUAUUUGGCAAGUUGUUUUUAUAAAAGGAUUUUAAAAAUAAAUGGAUUUUUUUUUUUUUUAAAAAAAGAACAAAAUGAUUUGUUUGAAUAAAUUGUUUUGAUUUUGUAAAAACAUUUUAAAUUCAAUUUAUAUAAUAUUAAUUAAUUAAAUUAAAUUGAAGUUUUAUUGAAAAUAAAAAUAAUUUUGUAAUUAAAAUUAGAUUAAAAAAUAUAUAGGUUUUAAUAAAUCGUAAAUAGUAAUAUUAUAAUAAAAUUAUAAAUUAUAUUUUUAACAUAAAAUAUACUAUUUAUUACAUAUUAAAAAAAAUAUUUUAUUAUAUUAAUAAUUUUAUGGUAUUAAUGAGUUUAUUAUUUAAGUUUUAAAUUAUUUUUAAAAAUUAAUAAAUUUGUUAACAAAUGCAAUGUACUAAAUGUGGUUUAAUUUGGAGUUAAUUUGUUUAGGGAAAAAAAUAAAAAAUAAAAAUCUUAUGUAAAAGAGAAAUAAUAGAGUGUGUGUGUUUUUUUUUAUUAUUUUUAAAAAUCAGUAAAAAGAACUUUUACUUAUUGCCUAAAAAUUAUUCUCUAUUUUAUUUUAUUUUUUAAAUCUAGAAAUAGAUAACAAUAAUAAAAAAAAUUAAAAAAGAAAAAUGUUUUUUAAAACUCAGACUUAUAAUUGCUUUUGUUUCUCAUUCGCACCCCUGGAUUCCUGGAUUCUAAACACAAAAUUAAGUUGAAUCGUCCAUCUAUCUUGUAAGCCAAGAAUUCACAUAGAAGAAAUAAUCGGAAUUUGAUUUGAUAUCAGAUUUAGAGUGGCUCACUACUCAUGCAUUGUCCCACAAUAGUAAUGCUUUGGGCCGAGAUAAACCCAUUUGUGGGCCCAAAUAAAACCCCUGGUUUGAAAACAUCGAUUUUACAGUGGCCCAAAAGAUUAUCUAUGAGGGGAAGAUAACUUGGAAGUCAAGCAAACACAUUUAUCGCUAACUUUUCUCUAAUUAUAAAAUUAUAACUUGGUCUUCUACACGUCUCACUUAAGAGGCGGAGCCACUUGGCACUACCUUUCCAUAUUGUAAAAGGAGAAGAAGCAGAAGGAGAAGAUUCUUAUGCCAUUCCACACACCAUGGCUAGUACUGCUAUGCUGCUUGGCCCGCCGGCUCUCCGCCAUCCUAAUUCUCCCGCCGGCACUGUCUUUGAAGAUGGGGUCAUUCUAACGGAUUCCCUGAUCGUCCGCACCAGUAAUCUGGAGCUUUCUGAAAAACCGCCACUGGAAUCCCUGGCGUAGUGCUCUGUCAGUGGGGAUAUUGCUAUGGAUUGUUUGGAUUCCCAAGCCCACAAUCUUCAUCUUCCCGGGAAACCGCCGAUGGGCUUAACGGAAAACAAGUCUCCGACCUUUUUGUCUUCCGGGAACCCGUGCUUGGACUUCUUCUUCCAUGUGGUUCCCGAUACGUCGUCUGAUGAUCUGAUCCGACGGUUUGAGUUGGCUUGGGAAUUCAAUCCGCUGACGACGUUAAAACUGAUAUGCAACUUGAGAGAGGUGAGAGGCACCGGAAAAUCUGACAAAGAGGGUUUCUACACGGCGGUUCUCUGGCUCCACGACCACCAUCCCAAAACCCUAGCCUGCAAUGCUAGGGUGUUGGCCAGCUUCGGUUAUUUCAAGGAUUUUCUCGAGAUUCUCUACCGGCUUCUGGAGGGCCCUAAAAUUCGAAGAAUCGAAAAGAAAGACUGGCUGGAUCGAAAAGGAAGGAAGAAAAAUUCCCGGAAAAGGAACUCAAUAUUCAAGCGAGAAAAUAGGCCUGGAGUUGAAUUUCCUGUAGAAGAGAAGGAUGUGGAGUAUAUGGUGGAAGAAUUUGUGGAUAAAGAAAAGGCUAGGGUACUGAGAAAGGAGAGAGAACUUGCUCUUGCCAAAAGAGCCCUGCACAAGUAUUCUACUGAUUCUAAUUAUCAGUUCUUACAUGAUCAGAUUUCAGAUUUAUUUGCUGAACUUCUGAAAUCUGAUAUUCAGUAUUUAAACUCCGGUGAGCUUUACAAGAUUAGUCUCGCAUCCAAAUGGUGUCCCACAAUUGAUUCUUCUUAUGAUAAAUCCACCUUGAUAUGUGAAAAUAUUGCUCGAAAGGUUUAUUCUCGCGAGGAAUAUAUAUCCAGAAUACCAAGGAAUUGAGGAGGCUCACUAUGUUAAUAGAGUCAGGGAUAGGUUGAGAAAACAAGUACUUGUUCCAUUACGUAAGGCCCUGGAGUUGCCAGAGGUUUUCAUGUGUUCGAACCAGUGGGGAUCACUUCCCUACAACCGUGUGGCUUCAGUGGCCAUGAAAUCAUACAAGAGCCUCUUCUCAAAACAUGAUACAGAGCGGUUUGGUGUGUAUCUUGAGAAAGUGCAAACUGGGAAGGCUAAGAUUGCAGCUGGUGCAUUACUUCCCCAUGAGAUUAUAGCUUCAUUGAAUGAGGAGGAUGGCGAGAAAGUUGCAGAGCUUCAGUGGGCGAGAAUGGUGGAAGAUUUAUCAAAGAAUGGGAGGCUCACAAAUUGCAGUGCGGUAUGUGACGUAUCAGGAAGUAUGAGUGGAACUCCAAUGAAGGUGUGUGUGGCUCUGGGGCUGUUAGUUUCAGAGCUCAGUGAAGAUCCAUGGAAAGGUAAUGUAAUUACUUUCAGUGCAAGUCCUGAGCUUCACAAGAUCCAAGGAGACAGCCUUGUAUCCAAGACUGAAUUUGUGAGGAUGAUGGAAUGGGGUGCGAACACUGAUUUUCAGAAAGUUUUUGACAGAAUCUUACAAGUAGCAGUGGAGGGAAAUCUGAGUGAAGAUCAAAUGAUAAAGAGGGUUUUCGUUUUCACUGAUAUGGAGUUUGAUGAAGCUUGUGGGAGGUAUAACUAUUGUGAAUAUGACUAUGAUAUGGAGGAAAUUGAUGAGAGUCAGAAGGCAUCUCAGAAGUGGGAGACAGAUUAUGAAGUGAUACAGCGGAAAUUCCAGGACAAAGGAUAUGGAAAAGUUCCGGAGAUAGUGUUUUGGAACCUUAGAAACUCAUCAGAGACUCCAGUGAUGGCCACAGAGAACGGGGUGGCCUUAGUAAGCGGGUUUUCGAAGAAUCUGUUAGACCUUGUUUUUGGAAGGAGGUGGAAUUCUGACCCCUCAGGAUGUGAUGGAAUUAGCCAUCUCUGGUGAAGAUUACAAGAAACUUGUUCUAUUUGAUUAAGAUAUCAAGAGAUUUAUCAAUAAUAAUAUGUUUUUUUUUUUCUAUGUGAAAUACAUGUAAUAUUAACUAUGGAGUUAUCAAAGUUCUGGAAAUUUAAUUAUUUCUUCUUUUCAAGUUUUGUUUGUCUUUGUUAGGAAUUCCCCUUGGGCGGACCCAGCUGGGGACUUGGAUUGAGGAAGUAAGGAGGCGAAAUUGUGUUCUUCUAUGGACAGAGAAAAAAGAUAAAAAUAAAAAAUAAAAAAGGAGGUUAUUUGCAUUUGGAUGUCAUGUGGUUUCAGGGUACAACUACAAGUUCGAAAUUGUACAUAAUGUGAAAAUUCCUGUGUGGAGAACAGCAUAAAUAUGUAUCUCAGUGUGUUUUGUUUGAGCUAAUUGGCAAAUUCGCUUUAAACAUGGUCACAUGGAUGCAUAUUUAUUUGUGAAAUGAUAGUAGUCGAUUACUUGGUCAGUAAGGUUUGUAUCUCUAACUCCAACAUCUUAUUGUAGUCUUUUAAAAUGUCAAAAGUUUAAUGCUAGCUUGAGAAAUUUUGGAAUGGAGACAUUCUAAACAAAGUUAAUAAUCCAUGAGACUUGGUAAAACCGAUCAGAUGAUGCUUACGUACAUGAAUGCCUUCUUUAAGCCGUAUCCUAUUUUCAUUGAAUGAGACGUGCCAUCUAGUUUUGUUCUUGUCUUGAUUGGAUCAUGAUCCCGGGAAUUGAUUACUGUUCUGAAUUUGCGAAUGUUCAAGGUAUUAGAGAAAGUUAAUAUUAUCGUUAAUUUACAUAUUAGUAUUUAUCUAGUUAUUAUAUAUUAGUUUGAAUUAUAAUAUAAUAUAGAAUUUGAAUCAAGUUUACUAUUAGUUUGAAUUACAAUAGGAAAUAAAGUUUGAAUUAUAGUAUAACUCAAAUAUAUUUGUAUAUAAAUAUCCAUCUUUAUCAAUGAGAAUAGUAAACCAUAUUUUUCUCUAUCUUCUUCUUUCUCUAUAUAUAUGGUAUCAAAGCCUCCAAAUCCUAAACCUAGUCUCAACUUAGAGCAAAUUUAGGGUGCAGGGUUUAGGCCCCGCCUCCCCCAACCCUUACCACAAAUGGUAGUGACCUUGUUAUGCCUAUGUAUUGUCAAUGCCUCAUUUUCUAUGGUCUUCAAUACAAUAUCUAGUUUCAAUGUCUCUUUCCUUACUAUCUCCAAUGCAAUAUAUUGAUUUCAAUAUCUCUUUACAACCAAGAGCUCCAAAUUUUCCUGGUUCAAAUCUACCAUAAUUUUUAUUCUCCUUUGCUUUUUACCAAUAUUAGUUCCCCUAAUUUAAUAUAUAUCUCUUUAUUACCUUCAACUCUACCUCUCUCUUUCUUUAAAAGCUUCCUCAAAGAUUUGAUUGCUUUCUUGCAUGUUUUGGGAAAACAAACAUGCUCAUAUUCUAUUACCUCUACUUGAGAUCUGCCUUAUACUCUACCUUCUUCUUUACCUCCUAUAUCAUCUACUACAUUAGCUUCAAAAACAUUAUUUAGUUUGAUGCUAAAUAAGGCUCCUAAUCCUACCCUUCCUUCAACUAACUUUCUUUUACAAGUCCCUCAAAGUUUUUUUUUUUUUUUUUUUGGAAAUUUGGCUUAGAAAGAUUUCAUUACUCUUACCUAAUCUUUCAACCAUCAAGUCGAAUCCACUUAUCUCUUGAAUCCAAGGAGACUACCCUCCACAAAAACAAGGAGAUUGACCCCCACAAUAACAAAGAGAUUGUCCUCCAUAGAAACAAAGAGAGCUUCCUUCAUGGAAGCCGAAUACAUCGCAAUCUAUUUUCUUUCUCUCAAGAUCAAAUCUCCAAUCGGAGCUCCAUCUUGUGGGGAUAUAUUAGAAAAAGUUAAUAUUAUCCUUAAUUUACAUAUUAGUAUUUAUCUAUAUUAUAUAUUGAAUUAGAAUAGAAUAUAGAAUUUGAAUUAAGUUUACUAUUAGUUUAAAUUACAAUAGGAAAUAGAGUUUGAAUUAUAGUAGAACUCAAAUAUAUUUAUAUAUAAAUAUCCAUCAUUAUCAAUGAGAAUAGUAUUCCAUAUUUUUCUCUUUCCCUGAGGCUUCAGAAUGUGAUCUUGAACAUUUGAUCUUUUGGAUUCUUCUUGUUUCGGUGGUUUAAUAUAAUGGAAUGUUUAAUUAUAGCCUACUUUAUCACCAUGGAUGUGCUCCUGCAGAUUUCUUGAGGGUGAUGGUUAUUUUGUCAUGUUUCUUGAAUGGUUUGCAUCAGCUGCCUGAGCUGUUGUUGCUGGUCACUUUUGCAACCAGGGAAAGAAUCAUGGCUUUGGAGAAGCCAGCUUCUGUUUUUGUUGCCCAGCUGUUAGUUCACUAAGAUUGGGGGUCCUAACAUGUAUGUAUAAUCAUAAGCAAGGAAAUUUUAUGUCUUACGCUAGAUAGGUACCAUGAUAUGAUGUUUGAUUGAUUUAUUAACUCUACCUGUUUCAAAAGGCAUCAACAUUAAUUUUACCCUUUUAACACAUUGGAUUGUUUGACCUUACGAGAUUUUCUAUUUCUGUACUAUUUGAACUGCAAUCGUUAUGGUCCUUAGGUCUCUAAACCUUCGUUUAAAAUAAAAGUAAGGAGCACACAUAGUAAAAGUUAAUUUUGGGUAACUUUUAAAACAAAGAGAAAAGUAAAAGUUGUUUUUGAGAAAAACAUAUAGAAAUUGAAAGAUUUUUUAUUUUGAGAAAAAAAAGUCAUAGAAAAGAAAUAAUAUCCCCAUAUAAGUAGAUAUGAUCUAUCCGAAGUGUAGCUACUCUCCUGGAUUUAUUCUAACAUUUUAAAAUUUUUCUCAAUGGGCAAAGGAAUAUCAAAUCAAGCUUGAGUAGGAUUAAUUUCUUAAUUUUUAAAAUAACUUAUAAUUAAAAUUUUUUGGUGUUUUCUUUUUUGGACAAUUUUUUAUGAAGACUCUGAAUCAUGCAAGAGAUAUGGUUAUUUUAAAAAAAAAAAUAAUUUAAAACUCAAAUACAUAAUCAAUGUCACAAAUUUAUAAACAAAAGGUUUUUAAAAAAUACUAUUAUUUCCCCUCUACACAUAAUUUUACUUUUCCGAUUUAUUUAUUUUUGUUGGAAAACAGUCUUCAAAUCAAGUAAAAUUAAUAUGUUAAAUUUGUUAAACAAAUAAAUUUUAAAAUACAAUUUGGAACUCAAAAAUCAAUUCAAGUAAUGCUAAAAUUCAAAAAAUCAAAUUUGGAAUAAAAUGACUUUGUAAAUUUUUUUACUAAACAAAUGAAUUUUAAAUCAAGUGAGAUUUAAUACAUUGGAUUUUUAUGAGAAUAGUAAUUUUAAAAAUUAAUUUGGAACUCAAAAAUAGACACAAUAAAUACCAAAAAUCAAUGAACCAAAAUUGGUUUGGAAUAACUCCAUAAUUUUUUAUUUAUUUAUAUAUUUAUUUUUUUGUGCACACGAAUUUCUUACUAAGCAUAUUGCUUCCAAAUUGAGAAAAAUUUACUAUUUAGAUUUUUUUAAUGAGUUUAAUGGUAUUUAAAAAUAAUUCAAAAAUUCGAAAAUUGACUAAUUUAAUAUUAUAAAUUCAUAAACCAAGACUAAUUCAAAAUGCAUUGGGGGCUAAGGGGGUUGAAAUUAAUGCUCCAUUUGGUUGUGGCCACCAAUUGGCAAUGGCCACCAAUCAACCAAUCAAGGUGGCUAAGGGGGUUGAAAAUAGGGACAAUGGGGUGGGUUUGGGACAGGACACUCAUAUCCCAUUCCCAUCCCAAUUACACAGUUAUUUCCCAUCCUUAUUCCAAACUUGUGUUGGGGCAAGUUGAUUUGUUCCCAUCUUUGUUAACGAAAUGACUAAUAACCUCAUCCUCUCCUUGUCUUAGAUGUACAUUUUCUCAAAUUUGGUCAGGUAUGAUUGAUUCAAGCCCUAACCUUAAUUGGUAAUGAGUGGAUACCACACCUAAUUGCAUUCUUCUUUCGUUGCAAAAUAAUGAGAUUAUAAUAAUCUAGCAAAUAAGAAAAAAUAGUAUGGAAGUUCAAAUUAACACCAUAACUAUCAAUAAUUUUAAGCUUAUAGAUGACUUAAAUGAUUGAAAACUAAUGCAAAAUACUAAAAAAAAAAAAAAUCAUCUAAAGAAUUCACAAGAGAAUAGAACGAACAAAACCAAAUAGGAACAUGGGUCAACAUUAGUUACAGAUUUUGAUCCCUUUCAAGGCCAAUCUUUGAACCAAGACUUCAUCAAAUCUACUACUUCAAAGGCUUUUGUGUUCUUCUUGAGUUGUACUCUGGAACAAAGACUUCGAGGUGAUGCUUUAGAUGAUUGCAUUACACAUAUUUAGGGUAGGGAGAUUGGAGAAGCUUGAAGAUGCCAACGAUGGGUACAAUUGAGUGGUCAAUAAGAACAAUGUGGCCUAUGACUAGUUUGAUGUCAUGGUAUAGGAGUUUUGGGCAUUGAGGUGAAAGCAAGAGCAACAUGGAAUUGAUUUCAAAGUCUUUCAAUUAGUGUAAAGGAGGAAGAAGAAGUGGUAUUGAUCCUAGAAAUAGUGUUUUAGGUGUUGCAUUAGAGGAAAAGAAAAAGAAAAAGAAGGAACCAUUGGAAUUAGUACGAGUGUGAAGAGAGAAGUGUAUACAUAAGGGGAAGUAAAAGCAAAGUUCUAAAAAUUUAUUUUUUUAUUGGUGGUGUAUGGUUGCAUGAUUAUCCCUAUAAAUAAUAGGAGUUUUUUGGUGUUCUACUAGUAGUUGAAGGAUAAUUUCAUAAGAUAAUAUUUAGAGCGGGGUGGGGUGAGUUGUGACAAAAUCCAUACCCGUCCCAAACAUUGGUUCAGGUUUUUAAAAUAUUUUCAAACUUAUCAUAUACCCAAUUUUAUAUUUCAUACUUGUCCUAAUAGAGACAGGUUAGUCAGGGUUACUUGAGUAGCCUACAAAACUAUCAUCCCUAGUUGAAAUGCUCUUUUUGGCAGUGGCAGCUAGAAGCUCGAUCGAUUGACCUACAAGACUAGUUGUCAUCAUUUUAAAAAGAGUUUUGGCUUUGGUUGUGAGUGCAAUUGAAUCUAAACUAACAUUUCCUUAAUGCAUCUACUUCAAUCCUAAACUUCUUACUUAAGCCUCAAUUGUUGUUAAGAUUUUGGAAAACCCAUUUCCUUAAAUUGUAAAUUUAAGAAAAAAAAAAUUAAAAGUGAGACAUUUCUUGAUUGAAUGUUGUUAAAGGUCCCUUGGAAUUAAGACUUGGUUGAAGCCUUGGAAGAUUAGCAGAACUCUCAACUUAUGUUUGAACCUUGAGGAGAGUGGACGUAGGCCAAAAUUUUGUCAAACCAUUAUACAAAUUGAGUUUGAAUUCUCAUUUCUUGAUUUCUUAUUUAUUUGCUUUUUCUUAUUAUUACUUGAAUUGUCAUUUGCAUUCAUUAAUGUUAAAAUUGGUUAUAAUUAGCCAACACUAAUUCUCUUUCCCCUUCCCUUAAUUUCUUGGGUGUAAACCUAGGUUGGAUUAACUAGAUUUUAUCAAAUCUAUUAAGAUGGUAAAAGAAUAAUUAUUCUUAACAUACAUAAGAUCAUCUUCAAUCAAAUGACUCAUUGGCUGAUAUGUUGAAUUUGCUUAUUACUUGCAACUCAAAAUUGUGUUCUAGUUGAUAUGUCAAGUCCUGAGUGUAUGGACAUUAAAUUUGUAGUACGUGAUGAGUAUUUAGAUGGUCCAAUUCCAAGAAAGUGAUUGAAAACUAGUUCAAGAAAGGUGCAAAAGGGAAUUGUUUUGGUAUUUUCGUUUUUAUUCUUGAAGGUGGCAGAGCUAAAAUUUGAGAAAUCAAGCAAAACAUACUGAAAUUACAUUGAAAGAAAGAAAAUGGGAGUUAAUGUCUUGCAGUACAUGAUAAGGACUUCAUGCAUGUAGUGUGACCCAUGUCUUGGACUGAUGCCACACUCACGGUUACACUUAUACCCUUAGUUCUCUCUUUACUACCUUAGCUAACCUAGAUCAGGUUAUGAGAUAGGCACCUCACCACACCAUUACUUGCCCAUUAAUUAGUGACAUUUUCAAGCAAUGAGGUAACAUGGUGACACCAAGAGGGUAUAUUCCUCACCCCCAACAAGCCUAGACCUGGUCUAAAAAAAAUGGAGAAAAAUGACGUGUUGUUAUGCAGAAAUAUAGCAACCAUGCCUUCCUCAUUACUUAGAUUCAGAAUGUGAAGGUGAAAUUGAGAAACAGAAACUCUUGAAACCAAAAUGAAAAUUGAUACUUUUACGAAGAAUUACAACAACAUUAGAGGAAGACUACAUUCUUCCUCUUUAUUCCUACAUUUCUACACUACUUCUACUCCACUCCAUAUUUCUACAUACAUCUUUAAUCAGUCUUCCCUCCUUUAUAUAGAGCCAUCUUCACACAAAUUCCGCAAGGUAGAAAAGAGGAAUGAAACUUGGAGCAAGGUUCGACUACUGGCUGUAGCUUGUCAAGGCUGAAAGUGAACUUUUUUUCUUGGCUUUUCUGGGCAUAGGUAGUAACUUGUAGGUUCCUUUUUGGAAUGAAAAUGGUACGGCUAGAACAUGUGGCACUCUCUUGUUGGAUGAUGUGUCAAGCAUGUGGCAGCCAUCUAGUGGAGAUUAUGUCAAUUUUGGGAUGGAGAGUUGGCAUCCAAUUGCAAAGAAAUAUGACAUCUACCAACAUGCAAUGUCAACCUAUGUAGAUCAUAUGAAGAUAGAGAGGAAAAAUAUAGAAAUGGAUAUAUAACUAGAACUAGCUUUUUAUUAAAUGAGACGGAGAGCCAACAAUGAAGGAAAAUCAAAAUUUUUGGCUCAUAUCAAAGAAUUCACAUUGUGUUACCCUAGGUUUUCUUAAAACUUACUUUUAUGAUAAUAAAAAAUCAUUAUUGUUUAAUCCUUUGUUUUAAACGCAUGUUUAGCAGGUUGUAAAAUGUAAAUAUCUUUCGAAAUUCAAAUAUGAAGAUAUGACAUCAUUUCAAGCAAUAUAGUCUCUAGGAAUUAAUGUAAAGCUAAAUUAAGGUGCAAUUAAGUUAGUUCAAUGCAUUAUUUUAAGAAACUUGACCUAUCAAAACCUUGUCUUACUUCAAAGCCUCUUUUUCUUUUCUUCCAACUAACAUUUUAAUAAGUGAUCGCAAAAGUACAAAAUUAGAUGAAAUCCAUUUCAAUGGUUAAAAUGAUCAAAUUCAAACUUUUUCUAAGUAUCUUUUAAAAGCAUCAAUAUUGAAAGACAAUUUUAUAUUUAGUCAAAGCUUGGACAGAGCCAAAAAGCACACAAAAAUUUAUAUUUUCUAGCUCUCUACCUUGGAUGGUCUCUUGAUCCUACUUGGAGAUGUGCAUAAAUAAAAGGAUUUGAAAAUGACAAUUGACUAAGUAUGUAGUCAAUCAAUUACUCAUUGAUUGACUAGUUGAUCAAUUAACUUUGCAACAUCAUAUGCAAUCCUAAUAGCUAGUCAUCUAAUCAACUAGGUAGUAAAUCAAUAGGCCAAAAAUAUGUUUAUAAUGACUAUUUUGUACAAAAACCACUUAUAUAGUUAAAUAUAAUGCAUUUCAUUUAUAAAUCUUCUAAUUCUUGAAUAACAAUCCUAUCAUCCUUUGAAAGUUUUUAUUACACCUUUUCUACAUUUGUUCUAAAACUUAUACAUCACCCUUAAUUGUACCAUGAGAACCUAGCAUUUUUUUUUUUUUUUUUGUAUUUCAUCAAAGUUAGCUCUUGUACUCAUUGUUGUAUUAUUUUUAUUGUAACUUAGAGAGCGAGUGUUUUCAAGUGAGUGAAAUUGACUUGUAAAUAUUGUAAAGAUUCAUUGAUAUGUAUCUCAAACUAGGUGUACAAGUUGAAACAUUUGCUAGUAGAUUUUCUCAAGAUUUAGAAUGAGCUUAAGGCUAUCGAAUUAGGUGGGGUUGCGCCAAACCAUAUCACAUCGUUGUUUGCACCUUUUUUUUCACUCUCUUUUACUUAGUUGCUCUAUAUAUAUUGUCUAGCAAUAUCCUAAAGGCUUGAUGGGCUAGGGAGCAUCCCUCUGAAUGAAAAAUUUUCAUUCAAUUCUUAGUUGUAUUACGCAUAUAUAAAAUGCCUCAUUGUUUUAAUGGUAUUCAGUCGUGGCACCACAGAUAUGGACAUCUAAAUUUUAAAAGUUUGAAACUUUUAGCUAAAGAAAAUAUGGUGCUUUGCCUUUUUGGAAAGCAUGUUGAUGAAAUCCAUGAGAAUUGUAUACUUGGAGAGCAACAUCGAGAUAACUUUUUUUUUUUCUUUUUUUAUAAUGCAUUGUUUGUCCAAAUUCCGUACAAAUUAGGCCACCACAUGUUCAUAAUUCUCCCUUCUUGAAUUUGAAAACUCGGACAAUUUGACAAUGCGACACCUAAGUCCGGUUUUUAAAUGCUAAAGUGAAAGGGCAGGUAUGGACCAUUGAAAUGUGAUAACAACUUUUGGCCUUUUCCUUUUCUCUGUAGCCAUGUUGUCUCUUUUUAAUUUCUUUUGCAUGAUUUUCUUACCUAAACAGAAUCAUAGACUUGUUUAAUCUCUAAGUGGGAUUUCAUCCACCUUAAGCUACUGUAUUAUAUCUCGGUGGAGGACAACCGACAUAGAGCACAUGCAAGUGGGUAUAUGGGACAUGAAAUAUCUUCUUAUAAAGCUUGUUUUGCAGUUAAAUUAAUUGGAUAAGUAGACACUGGCGUUUCUAAAUUUCCCACCUAAGAUAAUGACCUUAUCCUUGACUGCUAGAUACACAAACAAUUAUACCUUCAAAAUCUACUGUGAAGUGCUUCAUGUAUGUGUGAAGUAUUAGAAAUUUCUUUCUUGGCAACUUGUUUUUUUCUUUGCGGUCUACUGAUAGGUUUGACUAAAAUUAUAUUCCCUGUCCUGCUAAUUAAUUUUCACGUGCAUGCUCAAAAGAAGAGUAUGACCUUAGUGCACCAAAAUCACUUUCAAUAAUUUGUGAUAAGUUUUUUUGCAUGACAUUAACCUUAUUCAUUUAGAUAAUGUUUAGUUCUCAUAAAUAUUAAGAAAAUGAAAAUAAAUAUUAAGAAAAAUAUUCUUAUAUUUGAUUGUAUUAUGAAAAAUAUCAUAAAAAAUCAAAUAUAAUUAAAAUUAAUUAAUAAUUUAUAUAUUUUAAAAUUAUUUAAUUUUUAUAUUAAAGAUAUAAUAUAAAUGAAAUGAGUUUUAAGUAUUAUAUAAAAAUGAUUUAUUUAUUUAUUUAUAUAUAUAUAUAUAUAUAUAUUUAGUUUUUCUCUUUAUUUUAUUUUCCUUAUGUUUUCCUCACAUUUUCCGGAAUCAAAGAUAGGGAAAUCCACAAUUACCUUCAACUGAGUAGAUUCUAUUGUUUUAGCAAUGUUAGGCUGCUAACUUGUGGUGGUACGAACCAAAUGAUCCAUGUUAAUCUUGGCUUGAUUUAAUUUGGCUCUAUCUCAGAGAACUCAAGGAUCACGUCAACUCUGGUUUCUACUAUUCAGGUCCAUUCCCAGAUGAACUGGUUCAAAUUUGAGAAAAUGGUAACAGACCUUUAGUGAUAUUGGUUUGGAGCCAGUUGCCAAACCUGCCCUGAGCUUUACCACUAAUGUCAAGGGACAAAGCCAUUUGAACAAAAACAAUAGCUUCAAGAGACUGAAUCGUGGAUGAAAUCUGAUCCACAUUUCUUCUCAUUUUGGGAAAAAAUGAGGACUUAACCACAAAGAUUCUACUGCCUCAUAGUGCUUUUCCUGAUCUAAGGUUGGCUCGUUUCCCAAAUUGUGAGGUGCACGUGCCACUCUCACGCUCAGGAGUGUAUCCACGUGGUGGACAUAAGAUGGUGGCUUAAUAUCUGGUGUCGGUGGCUUUACUUUACUAGGAGAGUAGUGUGUCUUCAUCUCAUUCACUGCCAGAGGGUGGCGUAAGCAGUGACGCUAAGGUGGGGCACAGUCAAUAUCAUUUGCAUUUGACCAUUAUAAUUUUCUCCCGGCUUUAAAGUAACCUUAUCGUGAUAAUGGAUUACUAGCACUAGUUCAGAUGACAGUCAUGUUAAAUUCGGACCAUGUUUGUGUCACAUUAUCAGCAACCAUGUGCUUGUGGUUCAUGCUAUCUGCAACUAAACUUGAUAUAUAACCAGGUGAACUUCAAUCUAAAUUCUGGAAGUACUCAUGUGAUAGAUGGUGCCUGUCUGCAGUGAGUGUAUCUAUAAGAGGGAAGGCUUGGCAAAUGUUCAGUUUUCUGGGAAUUCAACAGGGAUCUAAAAUAGAUUGUUUUCUUUGCUGAUUUCAAUGGUUGAAAUUUGAGAAGAUUGUGUCCACAUAACACAACUAUUACUGGUCCUUCUGUUGCAAUUUAUCCUCUAAGGCUCUAACAUGUCUUCCAAUUCCCACUUCCCACUUCCCUGUUACUCCAGGAAAGCUGUUUCUGUCAUUGUGAAGAAGAAAAGAGACUGUACAUAUCGAUGCUUUUAAGUGGACUGGAGAAUUCAUAUCAGGUGGUCUGCAGCCAUACAUGCCACUUUGUGAAGGUUGGAACAGUCAAUCACUAGGCUAUAUUAGUGGGGCCCAGCCACUUCAAUCAAGGACAAGUCUUCAUACUUAAAGUCAAAUUCUGCCUUUAGUCUCAUUAUAAAUUGCUGUUUAAAUAUCAAGCAAACAUUUGUUUAAUGCGAUUAAGACAGCACUAACUCAAUACUUGUUCUAUUUUUGGAUGCAAAUGCUUGAUAGUUUCAUCAUUGGAGGGGAUAAAGGUGCAUUCAUGAUUAUGAAUACUUGUAGUUAUAUUUUCAUUCUCUUUUUUCUCAAUGGGACUUGUUGGCACAAUUUUGCUGUUCAGAAACCUACCUCUCCAUGGAAAAUCAGUUGUGAUUGAUAUUACUGGAUAUAUUCAAGAAAGCUAAAUGUAGAUAGCACAAAAUAUUAUCGACAUAAAUAGCAUUAACAGCGUACGUAUGUCUCAAUGCUCAUCAGCUAUAAGCAAGGGGCAAACACUUACUAUGAGCAACUUACGUCAAAAUUCCGGAAUAGGACAUAGAAGUGACAGGUCAGUAAAUAUAGAACACUGCAUAUGAGUCACAAGAAAGGAAAUUACGGGUACAUAGCAGCUCUUAUUUUACAUCCUACUCAUACUGAUCAAAGUCACUCAGUUGGGAUGGGUGGGAGUGGGAGGUUUGUGGGGUGGCUUGUGCGGAGGAGUUGGCAGCUUCUUUCCAGGACCUGGUUGCUUCUCUGCUGGAGUUGAAGGAGGCUUAAUCUUCCGAGGUGGCUUGUAUGAGUCUUCAGCAUUCUCAGCAGGAGGGUGACCAGGGUUGUGACCACAAUGUGGUGGCUUCUCUCCCUUAGGUGGUUUGCCAACUGGGGUUGGUGGCUUGUGUUCCGGAAGUGGCUUCUCUUUGUGUUCAGGAGGUGGCUUCUCCACUGGAGGCUUGUGUUCAGGAGGUGGCUUCUCCACCGGAGGCUUGUGUUCAGGAGGUGGCUUCUCCACCGGAGGCUUGUGUUCAGGAGGUGGCUUCUCCACCGGAGGCUUAUGCUCUGGUGGUGGCUUCUCCACCGGAGGCUUAUGCUCUGGUGGUGGCUUCUCCACCGGAGGCUUAUGCAAUGGUGGUGGCUUCUCCACCGGAGGCUUGUGUUCAGGAGGUGGCUUCUCUACCGGAGGCUUAUGCUCUGGUGGUGGCUUCUCCACCGGAGGCUUAUGCUCUGGUGGUGGCUUCUCCACCGGAGGCUUGUGUUCAGGAGGUGGCUUCUCCACCGGAGGCUUGUGUUCAGGAGGUGGCUUCUCCACCGGAGGCUUGUGCUCUGGUGGUGGCUUCUCCACCGGAGGCUUAUGCUCUGGUGGUGGCUUCUCCACCGGAGGCUUGUGUUCAGGAGGUGGCUUCUCCACCGGAGGCUUAUGCUCUGGUGGUGGCUUCUCCACCGGAGGCUUGUGUUCAGGAGGUGGCUUCUCCACCGGAGGCUUAUGCUCUGGUGGUGGCUUCUCCACAGGAGGCUUGUGUUCAGGAGGUGGCUUCUCCACCGGAGGCUUAUGCUCUGGUGGUGGCUUCUCGAAUGGGGGAUGCGUAGGGUAAUCAGCUAGUGAGGGGGCGGUGAGAACCACCAGGCCAAGCAACACUACUAGCAAGUAUGUAGGAGACAUCUUUGGGUUUGGGCUCAGAUGGUGCAAAACUAGGAGAAUUGGCUAGCCUUUUAUAGCGGAUCGUACCCAAUAAUGAAAUGACACGUGUCAUUAUGACCCAUGUGUCAUGUGGUCGAUUUGGGUCCUACAGUGUUGAAAACUUCGACAUCCACUUUUUUGGCCUUUUGCUUUCUCUACAGUCGCCUUGCUUUUUCCCUCUUUUCUUUUGUUUUCCUCCUGCCCCAUUCUAUCAACUAAUCACAAUUAUGUAGUUGUUUAAUUCUUAAAUGAGAUAUUAUCCGUCAAUCAUAUUAUCUUUUAUCAAGAGAGAACGGAGUGAAAAGUGGCAAUCCAAAGAAAGAAGAUCCAUAAUGCAGCUGUAAUUUUAUCGUUUACUUUUAUCUCUAGGACCACUGCAUUUUUGUUGAGAGGUGCAAUAAUACACGUCUUUAUCUGCCAUUCAAUGUUUACAGUAAAGAGAGGGCACAAAACUCUUCACUGCUCUGCAUGUGCCCCAAAAAUGCAAUUGGACAAAUUAUGAUUUGCAUGCUAAAAAGAGGCAAAUGAGGUUAAUUAGCACCAAAAUUAUUUUGUUUUCUGGACACCCCGGGGCCCUUUGGUUGGUUUGGGGGUCAGAAAAUGAACAUCAUAGGGGGUUUUUCCCUAAUGUGCAUUUGCAUUUGUAUCUGAUGGCUUUAACUCGCCUUGUUACUACAAAGAAAUUGUCACAGAUAGGAACUUAUUCCAGGCUGAGUAUCUCCGCAUGGACCCUAUAAAAGAAGACAAGUCAUAAUGAACAUCUAACCUUUGUUCAAUUUGAUUCAAUGCCCCUAUUGUGUCCAUCUCACAAAUCUGAAUUAUUAUAUCCAUUGAAUACAUAAAUUAAUGAAGAAAAUAUGAAACCCAAGAUACAUCUCUGCACAACCUCAACCCUGGUUGCUAUGUUUCACUUCUAUUCACAUGAGGAUAUUGAUUACGGAAUAAGGAAACCUAGCAAGGGUUUACUCGGCUCUGGUUUGAUGCUAAUUGCCAAACUUGCAACAAGCCCUGAGUUUGACACCUAAUCGAUGGGCGAAUUAAAAGUCUCCUCCAAACAUAUAUUCCACAGCUUGAAGCUCACAGAAGAUGCUAUACAGGCAGGGAAAAACCUUCAGAGUUAGCUACCAAAGAUAAUUAUCAAGGAGAUAUCACCAAGAGAAUUCCAUGGAGUCUGAAUCAAAGACAAAUUGCUCGCUCGUGGGGGUUCUUACUUAAUUUCUUUUGGGUAUAACUCACUGAGGGCACUGGCUUUGUUAUUUGCAUUUCGCAUUUAGAGUUCUGUUCUGGAAGGUUUGUUCUGGAAACAUAUAAAAGGAGCAUCAUUUUGUUCUAGGGUAACCCAUAGUUGUGAGUGGGUCCAUUUGCAUGCUACUUAGUUGAAAAGUUGGACAAUUUGCUCCGACGCCUACCUCCUGGAUUCCAUGCUCGGAUAAAGCAAGAAUAAUAAAAUAUUUAUAAUUUACAAAUGGGGGAAAGAAAAAAAUGUCAACAACAAACUAGGAAAAAAGAGUAGUAAAAUUUAUGCCACAUGCUAUUGAUAGAAGGGGCAUGUAUUAGAUCCAUCACCAUUUGGUAAGAUUUUAGUAUUAUAUUUUUCAAGGUUCAUUAUUUGAGGGUGUGUUCUUCAUCUCUGUUGCAUUGCUUCUUACUAGGCCCACUGAGGUGGGUUCUUCACCUUUUGUAUAUUCUCUGCACUAGAUCAAUGAGAAAGGGGGAAUUUUGGUGAAUUUGCAGCCGUUGGAUGAUUGAUUCUAGGCUCAGUCCACCAAUGAUGCUCUCUUCACUCUUUCUCAUCUAGUGUCAUUCACAACUAUGUUUUGAUUCAUAUUUGUACUAUCAAAGAUAUCUCAUUAUUCUAGCUCAUUAGGUAGAGUUCCUAAUCUUCCUCCUUUUUGGUCUAUGGACAGUAUUGGCUUCAUAUUAAGAUCAUGUUUCAAUAAUUGCACAUUAAUGAAUGGAUCAUGACCCACAUAAACAGAGUCAGGGUUGAGUCAGUGAACCCUAAAAUUUCACAAUUCUAAAUUUGGGUUCUUUAACAAUGCAGGGUCAAGGACGCGUGGUGAUGAAGGAAAGCUGGUAAGCUCAGUGUUACUUCAAUUCCUGCCAUGUAGGAUGGUGAGGAGAUAUUCACUAUGCAAUUAAUAAUAGACAAUAUUCACUAUGCAAUAAUAAAGCAUAAAUUAAGUUGAAUGAAAAGCAUUUUCUUUGCAAGGAGUUGAUUUUGGUUUCAUAGUUUGUUCAACUGCUAUUUUGGAUAGGAAAGUGUGAGGAGAAGAAAAUAAAAAAUAAAAAUAAAACAAAAAAUAAAAAAUAGAUUUUAUAAAUUCAUUUAAUUUAUUUUUUUUUUAUAAAAAUUAACUAAUUUAAAAUAUAUGUAAAUUUCUAAUUAAUUUAAUUACAUUUUUUUUUUCAGUUUUUCAUAAUAAACCAAAUAUUAGAAAAUUAUUUUUAUUAAGACACCCAAGAUGAGGUAAUAUGCAAUGAAAACAUGAAUUAUAUUAAAAUUCAAAACAAAUUAAGAGAAAUCGGAAAAUAUACAUAGAUAUCUAAACAAAGAAAUUUAAAGAGAAGGAACCACAAACUUUAUUUACAUAAUUUGAAAAUAAAAAACAUAAAACAUACUUAUAGUAAGGAGAAAUUGAAUAUCUUACAAUGGAAGAAGGGAGAAAAGCUUUGAAGAAAGCUUUUGCUUGGAAGCUUACAUGGUGAGAGGUAGAGAAAGGAGAGAGAGAGAAGAAAAUGAAAAAUGAGAAGUGGAGAAAAUUGGAAGUUUUGUGUGCUUACAACUGAGGAUAGAGCCUCCUUAAAUAGCAAAAAAUGGAAUAUUAAAUAGUACCAAUCAGGAGACAAAAUAUUGUUUGCUUUUGAAACCCGUGCAUGAAUAGUAAUCCCGUGAGUGAAUAGUGAAUAAUAAAAGUGAAUAGUAAAAGUCACUUUCUACUAUAGCACUUUAGACUUUUUCAUCGAGAAUCUUACUUUCGGCUGAGUGAUGAUAGCUGAUAGGUUGCUUUGGAUUGUGGAGUCAUAUGUUUGAUGUUUUCGGUGCUGAAACCGCUUAGUUGGAGAAUAAUCUCGUCAGUAGAGCAUCAUGAGAAGCUUGAAUGGAGAGAGCUUAAUGAUGCCAUAUGAUUGGAAGGAAUCCUAUUUUAAUUUCCUUAUUGGAGGGAGAAUACCCUCACAAUCAUCUUCAUUAUCUUGAAGGUAGUUUGAUAUAGAGUCAUCUGACUCAGCAUAAGAGUCCUCUUGGGAGAAGCUUGAACUGCUUUUGUCAAGGAUUUUCUGAAAUUCUUGAGGGGUUUUUGCUAUUGCUAACAUGGUUUGGAGUUGCUGUUUCUUAAGAAGAAACUGUGCAAUAUCAUAAGAUGAUGAAGCUUGUGUAGGAUGCUUUAGGAAAUAUUGCUUUAUUGCUUGUAGUGAGGUAUCAUUUUUCAAGGCAUCCCACCACUUAGACUUGAAAGUCCUUCCAAGGGUUGGAAAGGCUGCUGAUUCAUCUGCUAUAAUGAUAUAAUCCCACUGGACUAUCCAGGCAAGGCCAAAUUCACUAAAAAAGAAUAAUAAUUGGGGAAAACUGAAAGUUCUCUAGGGAUAACAAAAGAACUUUGGAAUAGCUCAAAGCCAUCCAAAAUGGGUUUUGGGAGAAUUUUAAUAGUUGGACCAAAAUAUGUCCACCAAUUGUGGAACCAAAAUGGAAAAGAGGGGAGUUGAUGCUUAGAUGGGAAAUAGAACAUCCCUGAAUGAUGGAAGUCCUUGUUCUGGAUCAGAAAAGCAUUGAACCAUACUCUUUGGUAGUCUCAAUAAUUGAAAAUUUUAGGUUUUGAAGGCUUAGAAAAUUCUCUUGAAAAAUUAGGAUUCCCACCCCACUGCUUAACUGUAAGGAUUUUAUAAAUAUGGUAAGUGGAGAAUGCCAAAUCCAAAUUGCUGAAUUUAUCAGCAUUGUGCUUGAUUUUAACAGAGCCGGUUUCCAUAAGGAUUGCUUCAUAAAAUUCUCUUGUUUUUAAAAGAUCACCAAAGGGAUAAUGAAAAUUUUCAUGAAAAGCUUUUGCUGCAAUAUCUCUAGGGUUUUUAGAGAAAAACUCUUUUUCAAUAACCAAAAGAGGUUGAUUUAAAUCUUUUUGCCAAUAUCUUGCUUUUGCUGAAAGAGGUGUGGGGUUGGCUACCACCACAAUUUGCUUAUUUGAAAAAGAAGAGCUUGAUGCUAAUUCAUUUUGAGAGGGAUUAGCUUUAGUAACCUGCUUAAAGGUCUGAGACACAGUAAUAGUUGGAUACUGAGUAGCCUUGACUGGUUUAGAAGGAUUCGAAGGAUCAUAGUACAAGGACAAAAUCUUAUUAGGCAUAUGGUCAGAAGAAUGAAGCCUUGCUUCUUCUUCUAGCUCAACUUGUUGGCUCCAAAGUAUUUUAUGGGGAGAAGGUUCUUUGCUGGUUUUAGAAGACUAGGAUUCUGGAAGUUUAGGAGCUUGGGUAUUCUUUUUAGGGGCCAUGGUUUCGUGAAUCCUGUAAAAUUCACAAGUUAAGAAAUCAGGGCUCGAAGAAUGUUCUCCUUUAAUAUACUCAAUUUGUAAAUUAAAAUUGCUUAAAAUAGCUUGAUAUAUAGCAAAAAUAUGCUUAGAAGUUAUAUUCUUAACAUCCUUUUGUAAAACUAAUUUUGCAAAUUUACAAUCAACUCUUAAUAAAAACUUUUGAUUCAAAAGAUCAUCUUGAAAUUUUGAAAUGCAUAAAACAACGCUUAAAGUCUCUUUUUUAAUGAUGUUAUGAAUGAGUUGGGUAGUAUUCCAGGUUCUUGAAGUAUACCUAACUAACAUCUCAAGGUUACCAACACUUUGCUUAAGAAUCCCACCAUAACCUAUGUCUGAGGUAUCGAUCCCAACAAACUCAAAGGUUUCUGGAUUGAUAGAGCCUAAACAUGGUAGGGUCUUGACUUUGGACUUAACAUCAAUAAUGAAAACAAUGGUGAAAACAGAAAACUGGUUAAAGUUUUCAUCCAUUAUAUUCUGGAAUUCUGAGGUGCAUUCUUAAGAUCAAAGGGCAUUAUGAACCAUUCAUAAUGUCCAAGAGAUACCACAAAGGUGGUCUUAUUUGGAAUAGGACACCUAAUCCAACUUAAUGUAUCAUUAAGAGGCAUGUAGUUGACGACUAGUCUAGGUGUUCCUUUUUCUGAUUCAACUUGUUCCUGAACAUAGAAGGUUGAACAACUCCAAAGGGACUUAGACUUCCUUAUCAACUUUUUAUCAAGAAGAUCCCAAAUCUCCUUAUCACAAUAGCUUAACAAACCCUUGUUCAUCUGGAUAGGUCUUGAUUUAGUGGGAAUAUUCUUGUCACUAAAGUCUAGUUCAUAAGGUAAUUCUACCUCAUGUUGUUUCCUAUGCCAAAAUGCAUUAGGAAUGUUAGAGCAAACUUCUUCAACAAUCAGAUUAAUUUCUUGCUCAUGACUUUCCUUAGCUUGAAUCACCUGAUCCCUUAAGGUGUUUAUAUUUUUCUUAUUAGGUGGUUGGCAAAUUCAAAAAUAAUUUCCUUAUCUAAGAGCUUUGUUCUUAUACUUUGGUCAUCUACCCACAUGGGAUAGAUGGAGCUUAAAAAGGGGAUUCCAAGGAGAGCUUUCUCCUUAAGAUCCUUAACUAGAAUGAAGGUUUGCUUGAUGCAAAUGCCUUGGUUAUUUAUGUGAGCAUCUGACAGCUUAUACUCAAUGUCAAGCCUUUUACCAUUAGCUCCAAAGAGAGAUUCUUUGGUUUUCUUACAAAACUUAAUAGGACCUAGACCUUCUUGUAGGCAAUUCAAAGCUGUUCCUGAAUCAAUCAAAGCAACAAUAUCAAUGACAAAUUUACUCUUAAUUACUAUAGUAAGGGAGACUUUCCACCUCUGGAAAAUAACCCUACUAACAGUAUUUAAGUAUCCAUCCGUCUUUUCAUCAUUAGCAUGUGAAGAUUCUAGAACCUCUUCAAGGUUUUCCUAGUUAUCAACAAGAUUUUCUAUAACAAUCCUAUUUAUUUGUUCUUGGAGAUCUGAAAAACCUAAGCUUGUGUAUUGUCUUAAAUCUUUAAUUUCCUUCUUAUACUGUCUUACUUCUUCUUGAAGAUCCUUAAUGGUUACGUCUUUGGUAGACUACUGGUUAAAUCUUCCUAAGAUUUCAUUUAAGUUAUAAGAAUUUACUGUCUUCUUAAUCUCUUGCUUAUCGACAAAUUUCUUAAAAACUUCAUAAAGAUCUUGUUUAGUUUUUUCAUCUUCAACUUUCCUUAAAACAUCUAGGACAAGUUCUUGAUCUUGGCUUAUGACAUUUAUAGUCUUAGGUUGGCAAUCACAAUUAUCCUUAAUGUAUUCUUCUUGGUCACUAGAAGUUUGGCUUGAGAUUUCCUCACCACUACUAUCUAGUUGGUUAAUACCAUUUUCAUUAUCUGAAUCAAUCCUUGAUUCAGACUCUGUGGAAUUUAACAUUACUUUACAAAGCAUAUCUUUUAAGUCUUCUGUGACAUUUAAGUUAUUAAUUUUCUGCUUAACCCUACAAUCUUUCUUAUAGUGGCCUAUCUUACCACACUUAAAACAAACUGGCUUAGAUUGUGAAGGAGCUUCUAGCUUUUUAUGGGCUUCUUUGUUCAUCAUUCUUUGGAUGUGCCUUUGUUUCUUAGUUUCAUUCAUCCUAUAGUUGCCAUGAGUUCCUCUCUUGUUGUGAUAGGACUUUUCCUUACUAGGCUUUGUACUUACUUGUUUCUUACGUUGCUUAGAGGGGGGCUUAGUUUCUUUUUGGUUGAAUCCAAACUAGCUACAAAAUGAACCAAACUCAUUCUUGUAGAUCCUUUGUUCAUUUUUCAUCUGUUGCUUAAGCUUAAAGUCAUUGCACAGUUUAAUUGCUUCUGAUGUGACAAUGCUUAUAAUUUCUCCAUAAGAAAGCUUAUCAUAAGGGAUUUGUCCAUUAAACUGUUCCCUUAUCUUAAUCCUAAUCCUCUCAGAGAAAAGUCUAGGUAGUCCUAAGAUGAAUUUUUCUUUCCAAAAAGACUGGUUAUAGUUUGAUCUUAGUAUGACUUUGGUUAGGAAAACUUCUCUAUACCAUCUAAAGUCAUGAAGCUUGGGACACUUAAGGUUGGUUAAGAGAUCUACAAUCUUAUCCUUAAUCUUUGCAGGAUCUCCAAUGAAGUGCUUUGAAAUUGAAUAGAUUAGAGUAGCCACUACAUCCUCUAUAUCUUGUCCAUCUUCAUCCUUAACCACUUCAUUUUCCUCAUUAAUCCUAUAGGCUUUUAGGAUACCAUUUCUAUCCUCAAAGGUGAGAUAAUUAUCCCACCAACCCUAAAGUUGACCUGUAAACCCAACAACAAUUGUUUGAGCUACAGCAUGGCCUGACAAUCUAUUGUUUAACUUAUAGGUUGUACUAACCAUGGUCAUUUCUUGAAGCUUAGUGAGUAUGUUGUACUCAAUCAUACCAUCUAUGUUCCAUUCAUAGAUAGUGUCACUAGUGUAGGAAGCUUGAGUAUGCUGGUUUCUUUCCUCAUACUACAUAUCAGGAAAAGUUGGUCUAGGGUAGUAAUUCCUAGUUCUUGGUUGUUGAUAAUCCUCAUAACUGUUUGGUUAGGAGGUUCCUUAAAAAUCUUAAUUAGUUCAUCAGCCUCUGCUUCAGAACUAAUUUCUCCUUUAACCAUAUUGAUUCUCUUGUGAGAUGGUUGAGGUGUCUCAGAGACAACAAGGCUAUCCUUAACCUUUUGGCUUAUCCUAUCAAUGAGGGCUUGAUCAAUAUGGAGAUUCUCUAGGAAUUUCUUAGAGAAUUCAAAAGGCUUAAAUAAAGACUUAUUAUCUUUCUUAACAAACGUAGUCUUAAUGUAGUCUUGUGUUUCAAUGAUAUCCUCAAACUUGUUGAGUUGAUCGCCUGUAGUCUUAAGAAACAUGUUAGUGUAGUUGUUUUGUUCCAUGAUUCUUCUAACGUCAACAACACUAUCAAUUCCUUUAUUCUUUGGCCUAGUCUUAAAAGGUGAAGCUUUGACUAUGGUUCAAUUAAUGUUCUUUUAUAUCUUAGCUUCUAGAGGGUGGAUGGAUUCUAUGAUAGUAUCGUCACUAGUUUUCCAUAUCUUAGUUUUUUUGGAUGUGUCAUUGACACGCUUACUAGGGUAAUCUAGAUAUUCCUCUUGUUUGAAGAGUUCAAACCAGAUCCAAUACUUAAUGUUCUUCUUUUCUUGUCUUAAGUAUGUGUAGAAUUCUUCUUGGUAGAGGGUUCUAAUGUCUUUAAGGACCUUGCUAAAGAACCAAACUCUCCUUUUCUUAUUGACUUCAGAAUAGAAGUCUUUCCUUAAGAGGUCCUUGUUGAUUCAAAGUCUUCGUUAAUUAGGCUUACAGUGUUAAUCAACUGAGAAUAAGUAGGAGACAUAUCAGGAGAUUCGUCCUGAUGUGAUUCUUGAGUAAACUCAUUUUCCUCCAUGUAAAAGGGUUUGGCCACGUUGGUGUGACUUCUAACACCUGUUAGCUUAAUAUUCUUAGGAUUUGCUGAACUAGAUCCUUCCUCUAUCCUAGUGGUUCUUAUUGGGAUAGAUGAACUUGAAGCUCUAGAGGGCUCAUAAUAUGAAAUUCUAAGGCUGCUAGAAUGAUGAAAAGAGUUGGAGAAAAUUAGAUCUCGUUCUCCAUCAGGAUAUUGAACAAUCUGUUCAAUUCUUUCAGAUCUUUGCUCUAUGGCUGGGACAACAUUAGCAAAAUGCCAAUUUUCUGGAAACUCAACCUCAUUCCACUUGAUUUUCAUGGGGACUAUGAAAUUAGACUUGUUUAUCAUAUCUAAGUGGAAGAUAGUGGUUUCACCCUUGGGACUGGUGCACAAUGCUCCAAAUCCAACGCUUAUGGUCAUGCUCUUAUAGGCAAAUCUGGUGAUGAUGGAAACAUGAUUGUUUCCUUGCUUGAACUUAAAGUCAUGGGUCUUAACAUGAAGGACAACUGAAUCUAAGAUGUUGACAUCUCUUAGUCUAACUGUGAAGUUAGGGAAACACUGGAAAUAAACAGGACCAUCAUUUAAUCCUGCUUGGGUAGCUCCAAUAAUAGAAUCUCGGUAAUCAAGAUGUCUAUUAUCUCUUAAACACAUGACAAUAAAGGUGUUUAGACCUAGUCUUGUCAAGGGCUUAGCUGCAACUUGAAUCAUGCCAAAGUGUAUGAAGUUGUAGUCUCGCUUAUGCUUAUCAAUGGACUUACUAUCCAAGAGUCUUAUGACUUGAUCGUCGUGUUCUAAACUUACUGACAUUUCAGGGGUUUUAAUGGUGUAAUCUGUAAAGAACUUAAAGGUUCCUUUCUUAUAAAUUUCUUGAUUAGGUACCUUGGGUAACUUCCAAUCAUCUAAAUCAUCUUGGAUCUUAGGAUAAUUGAUCUCUUCAUUGUUUACUCUUGAGAAUUUGUGGAUUUCCUAGACAUGGUUCUGAAAAUCAAACUCAUUUUAAGGUUUUAAUCUAGAGCCUAAUAGCAGAUUAACAGACC
rnacentral:lncRNA from 1 species